rnacentral:lncRNA from 1 species
ACAACAUCGGAAGCUGAAAGCCUGUAAUUACUUCAUUUGGAAAGCAAACCUGAGGAGAAGGUAAGGUGUUCUUAUACCUUGCUUCUCCCUUAUGUGUCCCUUACAGGCAGGGGGCUCUAUAAAUUGCACACAGCUUGCCCAAGGCAUCUUGGCUGAACAGGGAACUCAGGAACACCCUGCUCUGGGGUCUUUGCACUGGCUGGGAGUCCAGAGGUCAGACUCCUUGGGGAUAAACACAGCCACUGAUAUCUCUCUGGAACACUGUGAAGCAGCUUCUGUCCCCUUCCAAGUCUUUAGCAGCAAUGUCUCUGUAUCUUACUUCCAACCACCAUCAUCUGGCACCUCUCCCUCCCCACUGCUGUGACUCCCUUAUGAACUCUAGCCCCUAGAAAUGAAAGUCAUGGAGGACAUUGUCUGUGAAGACCUUCUGCUUUCCUCAAUAUGGCCUUCCCCUUGAUAGGGAAGCCCAAAUGCCUUACUCAUUGCUGGGAAAUGGCUAGAGAAAAAUAGUUUAAUAAUUCCAUAAAUUUUCCUAUGACACAAGUAUCUCCUUAUCUUUUGGAAGUCAACCAUUCCACAGCAGAAAAUAAUUGGCUCCCAUUUACUCAGGAAAAUUCCAUCUGCUCCUGUGAAUUUUUCAUAGUAAUGGCCUCUUGGAAACAAGACCUAGAAUGCUGGGGUGACCAGUGAAUGCUUCAAGAAUUCAUUUUAGAAACUUUAUUGUUAGUACAGAAACCAGCCCUUCACCUUGCUUUUAAAAAGGUUGAAAAUUUGGAAUUUUGAUGAAGAAAUAUUUGAACUGGGUCUGAAAGGAUGACAAUGGGCAAAAAAUGAGUGGGGAGUUGGAAAUGAACAAAAGUAUGGGGGAGCUGGUUUGGUGGCGCACACCUGUAAUCUCAGGGACUGGGGAGGCAGAGGCAGGAUGAUUACAAGUUCAAAGCCAGCCUCAUCAAUCUAGUGAGGCCCUAAGCAACUCAGUGAGACCCUGUCUCCAAAUAAAAAAUAAAAAGGACUAGGGAUGUUGCCCAGUAGUUAAGCACCCCUGUAUUCAAUCCCUGGUACCAAGAAGAAGAAGAAAAAAAAGUAUGGGAAAGUGAAGGCAUCAGACAAUUUAAGCAGAGAGCUUGUCCACCUCAUUCACCAUGAUGUUCUUCAGCACUGGAAGAAGAGCUGGCUCUGUGAGUAUUUGUUUAAUGAAUGAGUGGAUGGAUGCAUUUUUGUAGCCAGGAGAGAGGAAUAAGACUGGAAACACAGGCCUAUCAGUCAGGUCUCAGUAGGAAACAGAAUUUCCCCCAGAUAAUUCAAGAGAAGGGAUUUUAACAAAAGGAUGUCCGAAAGAGCUUGGGUAGGGUUAAGGGAAGAAAUAGAGAUGUCGAAGCAUCCAGACCCUAGCCACCAGGGACGCAUAACACCUCUAAAGCUGAAGGGGCAAGAACAUGGUGUAGUUACCUCCAGAGAAGUGCACUCAAGUAGGGAGGGCAAGAGGAAGAAGGGUGCUGCCCCUUCUCCUCCUACCCCUGGUUCUCCUGCCAGUGUCUCCUGGUAACUGAACCCAGCUAAAAGAAGCCAGACAGCCUGAGAGCAUGGGAGUGACAUUUUGGAGACUGGAUCUGGGUAAAAGAAGCAACAUAAUCACCAUCCAUAACCGGAGCUGAAAUAUAAAGCCGGUUUAAAAACCAAAUUCUGCCUUCAUUUCCCUAGGCCUUCCAUUCAUUCCUUAUUCUCUAGAGGUGUCCCUGACCCAGUCAGCUCUUGUCAACUGGAUUGGUAAACUAUUAGUUCCUGAAGAUUUUAGAUGAGGAACUAGCACAAAAAAAGGUUCAGGAAAGUUUAUCUAUGUUCACAUUCCAAUCCUGCCACUCCUUAUGUGUAAACUGUGGGCUCAUUACUUCAAAUUCUGUGUCUCAGUUUCCAUGUCUGUAAAGCGAAGGAAAUUAUAGUAGCUAUCUCACAGUGUGGUUGUAAGUAUCCAAAGAGAUAGUCCAAGUAAAACCCUUAGGUCUGAUGGCAUUGCUCUUUUUAAAGCCUUUCUUGGGUUGAGAUUUAAACAAAUUUGUCUUUUAUUGAAGAAUUUACUGUCAAAUCAGGGUUAAAGUGAGGUCUUAAGGAAUUUGGCAAUUUGACUUUGACCAGGCAAUUUUACUUGCUUUUGUUUAUGCUGGCUGGCUUCCUUAGGCAUUGGUUUUUCCUCCUUUGAAUGACAGUAGGAUGUUAGAGAGGCUUUAGUUAAUACCAAUAAAGUCCACCUACAUGGGCUCUCAACAUACAGCUGCGAUUUAGCUUCCAGUGCAUUUCUGAAAAUUGCUUCCUUGGCAUUUCAGCAUUUUAUUUGAAAGAACAACUGAAGCAGAAAGGAAAUCAAGCAACAACAGGAGGACUUGGUUUUUGAACUCAUUAGUUGGCAAGCUGAAAAAUUUGCUUAGAUCAGUUGGGUUUUCAAAUGUGAGAAUGGGCUUCUGAUAAGAAAGUCAGUAGCUACAGUCCCAGUCUGUACUUCCUUCUUUUCCUAACAAGGUUCAUGUGCCUUGUUAAUAGGUAAGAUGUGUGGAGCUGUGGAGUGCUGUGUGCCCCUGUUUAUGCCAUCAUUAAAAUUUGAACAGACACACAUUUUAUGGAAAGGCUGACUCUAAUUAUGAUUUUUAUCCCCUCUUUGGUUUCCAAUAUUUUUUCAUAGCAUUGCUAUAAAAGAAACCUUGUUUUGGCUGUGUUCUUAAUGAAUAUUUGUGGAAAUUUCUAAAAUUAUAAAUGCAUUUACAGUUCUGACAUCAACUUAACUUACAUAGAUUAAAUAAUAAGAGGAUGUAAAAGUUUCAAUUUCAUUUUGAUACCAGAUACUUGUGGUUAUUUCAAUAUGUAGGUGAUCCUUCAUGAUAAUUCUUAAAGAUAAGCAGGUUAUUAUCAUAAUAUAUGCUUUAUACAAGUAAAUGACUUGUACGUGACUACUUCUCGAAUGAGGGAAUAUUUUAAAAUGUACCUAACAAUCCUAUCUCUUGGGCUAUGAAAGCCCUUAAACAAUGAUUCUCAAGGACUUUCUCUGUCAUUGCUUAAUAAUAUUCAAGGCCUACAGACAGUUCAGAAUUACAUUUUUAAAAUGGUAUAUACUAUAUAAUUAUAGUUCCAUUUUUUAUAAGGCAGCAAACCCCAUUGUAUAGCAACAUGAAAGGAAAUGCACCAAACUCUUAGCAGUGGGUUCUUUCUUUUUCAGUCUCAUGGGUCAAUUUUAUUACCUUUACAGUAGUUCUAAAUGGAAGAUAGGAAUACAGGAAAGGUUUAAAAACAAUACUAAUCCCUCCUCAGGGACAUCUGAGUCUUUUUUUUAUAUAUAUACCUCCCUUUUACAGUGUGGUGUCAGAGGCUGUCUGGAUUUGAAUCCUGAUUUCCUCACUUAGCAUUGUAUGACCUUGUAUAAGUACAGACAUCUCUCUGUGCUCAAUGCAAUCAUCUGAAGACAGGGGUAGUAGAGAUCUUCAGUGACCUAGCAAGAUCCUGUCUCCCAAAAUAAAAAAAUAAAAAGGGCUGAGGACAUAGCUCUGUGGUUGAGGGCACCUGGAUUCAAGUCCCAGUCCCACAUAAAAAAACUGGGGAGGGGAGUAGUAAUACUUCUCUCAUGGAGCUGUUGUGAGACUAAAUGAGAAAAUACUUAAGAACAGUGGCAGGGACUCACUUGGAAUCAAUAAAUGAGAGCUAUUAUUUUAUCAUUUAUAAUUAACCUGUUUCUAAUCCCAUCUCUUGUGGUGGAAUGUGACCUCCUGGGAUAGUCUCUGACCCUCCUUUCUUUCAGCCUUUGGUGUUCAGAAUCUGCUUUGAAGCUAUUCUGAGCCUGUCUGCACUGAUCCAUUCGUUAGCAAGUGGUCAGUUCAUGGUGACACCUCUAUAGGUCCACAAGAAGUCCUUUAGGGGUGUUAUUCUAAAACAUCCACCUUCCUAGUACUUGAAACUUCAAUCGCCUUCCAGAGUCUUACAUGGGUCAUGAAGACUAGGUGACAUCUGAAUCACAAAUUGAUUCUCAGGGUCAAGAGUAUUUGGUCUGUAUAGAAAGUCAAGGUUUAUAAACCAGUCAGUAUCUUUAUCUGGCAUCACUCUCCUCCUCAGCAGCUGCCCCCCAAACCUACUCUGCAUGAAGUUGUCCUGGCCUCAACAUUAUUUUUCUGGAAAAACCAGGAGUAUAUAUAAAUGGCUGGACCUUCAGAGAGACUGAUUUUCUAAAAUUUUUCCCAAAUUUAUUUUUAUUUGAUUUUUAAAAUGAAUAGUAUUUUGAAAGAGCAUAACCUAUAAUAUAAGGCUUAUUUCGAAUUCUUAGGAUGAUGAUGCUAAUUUUCAAUUGAUAUGUGUAAUUGCUAAUACUUGUCUCUCUGUAUAGAGCUUCCUCUUUCCAUGUUUUAGCUCCAAAUCUUGCCCUCUCGUCGAUGCAAAAUGCGUGCUUUUAAAAUACCCCACCACCCACACACAUACACACACUCCACACACAUGCACAUCUCUAUGUUUACUUUUUUGAGCAAAGGUGAGAUGCAUGAUCAUAUCUCUUUUUAAAGAUGAGACAGCCAGAAGAAAAGGCAAACAAAUCACAUUGGGAGGAACCUUCAAAGGGCUGUGUCCUAGCAUCUCUAACUGCCCUUUAUUAACCCAUUAUGGGUUAUUACUUCAUUAAAUGAAACUAUUAAAAUACCCAUGGGUUGAAGUGGGAGAAAUGGAUUAGCUAGAAUCAGCAAGUACCUGUAAAUAAGGUAUACCAGAGGGAAUUUGGUACAGGAGAGAAGGGUGAGUCAUAGCACACAUUAACUAGUACUUACAUAAUGUCUAAUAAGUUACAAAGUGAUUUAACAUACUGGAAGAGAAUGAACAGAGGGAGUGAAGAAAAUGGUAGAGAAUUAGAUGGGGUAGGGAGGCUUCCGUAUGUCACAUGGACUUUAGACCCCAAAUCGCCUUGCUUUAAUUUUAAGUUACCUGAGAUAAUGAAAAACAUGAGGACUACAGAUACCUGGAUAUCCCCUUAAUUAUUUUGCAAUGGAAAAUGGUUCAAAAUCUGCCUUACAGUUUGUGAUCUCUGAUAUCUUUAUUCCUGUUAUAGUAUGGGAAAAACAAGUUUAUUUUGAUCAUUCUCAAUGUUGAUUCAUCAAGUGGUAUCAGGAGAGGGAUUUUCAAGAACUUUCAUUCUUUUAUUCCCAAGGGCUGCCCAGGACGGUGGAAAUGAUGAAUUCAGAACUGUAGCAAAGGGGAAAACAUGACCCAAAGCCCUCCAAAGCCUGGGGUGACAAGAAGAAAUUCCUAUUUCUGACACUUAUUCUAAGGCCAUCUCUGACUCAAUAACUAGGUAAAGGGGCAGAGCAGAUUUGUACUCAGAAGACCCAGGCAGCCCUAUGACAGCUUGUCUUCUCAAACCACAGACUCGAAUUCACCUAAAUCUAAUAAGAUGCAGUCCCUCUGCUUGGAGGAAAAAUAUUCUGUAUGAAACUGUAGUAGAAGAAAGUAUGUGAGUCUGAGAGCCAAGCCUGCCCACCCCCCUAUGGGAGGCCAUAAUGUACCAUUUUACUGAAAUUUCUCUUUGCUUUGUUUUUCCCAAUGAUGCAUUUAGCUACAGCAUGUAGAGAGAAGCCCUAUUCAAGAGAGUGGGGUCAUUAUCCACACACAAAAGGCCAUUUAGAGAAAGAACAGCUCAGUCAGUUCAAGCUGUGGCUGCCAGAGUCCAGACCCAUUAGAAAAAAAAAAAAAGGUUAGCUGUUUAAGUGGGACUGUGAAACAAAAUGUAAUAAUUAGGGCUAACUGGCACCCUCCCCCCUGCCAAGAAAGCUGCCUGGGAUCAUAAACAAAUUCCCCGAAAGUUCUAAGCUUAGGGGAAAGCAAAUCAUCCACUCCAAAUGACAGUUCAGUUAUUAACCUUUACCCUAGAGGCUAGGCUUCCAUUUCUUCUUCUUCUUUUUCCUCUUUUUAAAAAUUUUUUUCAUCUUAAUAUGUACAUAUAUAUUUUUAUUGCUGCCACUUUUAUUAGGGUUGGGCUGUUCUUUCUUUAGUUUACCAGUAUUAACAUGUUCAGAUCACUGGUGUGUGUGUGUGUACCUGCACACAAACAUGGGAAAAAAAUGUAAGUCCUCAAAUUAGCAGUGGUUACCUUUAAGUCAUGAAAUACAUGGAAGAAUUGGGAAUCAAUCCUCCCAUGCUUCCUAAUUGCUCUUUAUUAAUAGAAAAAGUAAAAAAGAAAAAAGAUGCAUCAAAUAUUUCAAGUACAAUUUUCUACCUUGUCUCAUCUAAAGGAGGGAAAAGAGUUGAGAGUUUCAGCAAGGAUAAUAAUGAGAAAGGAGGUACAAACCUCAGAGGAGAGAUGGUGUGAUAAAGGAGAGCCGGACAGUAAGGGGAACCCACCCUCAGUCUCUCCUUCAGCCUCUCAGGGCAUCUGCAUAAAAGUAGCUUCAGACUCACAGAUAUUUUGUGGUUCUUAGUAAGACAAUAAAUGCUCACAGCAUUUUGCAUGCUCACAGGUGCAGUGUCCUGGCUAAUCAAACAAUGCUAGAGGUUUAAUAGACAUUUUCUGUUGGAUCGAUCACUUGGGGUAUUUUGAUGACUAGAGAGUAAUCAUAAGCACAGUGCAUGAAUAACCAAUAUUCAAUGAAUAAGUUGGGCCUAAAAUGCCAUUGAAAAUUUAAUGCUUAAUGAUUUAGAAGCACUGUGGGAACUUACAGGGCUUGACUAAGCAUUUUGAAAACAAAUGAUGAAAAUUAACACAGAAUGGACAAAGUGGAAAUUGACAAGGAGUUGCUUUUGUUAGAGUACACGAUAAAUCUGCUUUUUAUGUGAUAUUUCUAAAAUGACUUACUGGUAGAAUGGAGGUAGAAAUGAAUUGCUUGGCAAAUAAAGAUUAGGUAUUUCACUUACACCUUUGUGGAAUUUCAUUACCCCCUGCCUUCAUUUUUAUUACUCUUAUAACAAAAUAUUUAGCAAGUGCAGGACUUUUAAUCCAGGAAGUAUGAGUCCUGUGUUCACAUCACUCAAUUACCAAUUUAAGAAGUAUGCACUUUUCAACUCACAUGGGACUCUUUUAACAUUUUUGCAUCACAAGUUUUAUGAAGGGGUACAAAGGAGCAAGAGAGAAUUUUAAGUCUGUCAUUGCCUUUGGUUUGUGGGAAAAGAGUAGGUACAGGCCAAUCAAAGGUUGAGAAAUGAUAUCAAUUUAAUCCAUUCAAGAAAUACAUUUGAAUGCCUACUAUGCUCCAGGCACUAUUGUGGGCACUUGUGAUACAUAGAUUUUUACCAGUGAAGAGAGAUGAUAAUACAUAUUAUAAAUAUAUUCAUGAUGUUAGAGGAUGUUAAAGUUAUUGAAAAAUAGGGCAAGACACUGGGGAUUCAGAAAGAAAAAGAGUCGCUUCUGAAAUUUUAAAUAAUUUGUUUAGAGUAGGCUUCACUGAGAAAAUGUUUCAGCAAAACCUUGAAGGAAACAAAGGAUUCAAUCACGUGGGUAUGUGGAAGGGAAGUGCUUCAGGGUACAAAAUAGAGACACUGGAUAGGGGAAAAUGAUUUGCUGAGGAAAAUAAAAAGUAGAGCGGAAAAGAAGAAGAAAAGGAGAGACAUUUGAGAUAAAGAGGCAGCUUAUGCAUUCCUAAUGUAAUGGAACUUGGAACCAUGUGGCUUUGGAUAAUUGUGCUUGGAAGGAAUAAUAAGAAUAAUCUCUUUACCCAAAAUAUGAUUAGCAUUUGUGACACAGCCCUAUAAAAUAAGUAGGUAAAUGUGCUCAGAUUUUACACACUAAAGACUGGCAUAUUUAUAGUGAGAGCUAGAAAAUUGAAUGCAUUCAUUAUUUUAUCUUGUUUAAUCUGAGUAUCAUACAUACCAGACACUGUGUUAGGGACUGUGGUGUGGUGGUAACCAAAAUAGAUGUGAUUCCUACAUUCAUGCAGAGAUGCACUUUAAUUAAGUGAUAUAUUCAUUAUCUUAUGGUGAGAGCUAUGGAAAAUUAUAUAGAAGCAUGAAAGCAUCUGAUCUACUUUGGGAGUCAGAACUAAAUAUCUACCAGGAAAUGAUAUUUGAGCUGAGAUUUGAGGGAUGAGUUAGAGUCCUGUAGGCAGAGGUGGAAGAAAGCAUGGAAUAUUUGAAGAACUGAAAGACCAGUGGCUUAAGGAGGGAAGAAUAGUUCAGCCAAUUAGAAUCCUAUCAGAAAAUAGAAGGCACACUCAAAUAGGCCAAGUGAGGACAGUUUAAUUAAAGGGCUCUUUAUAAUGGUGUCUGAAUGGUUAAGGGAAAUUAACAAGGGAUGUCCAGUACCCCAGGAGAGCAAGAAUGAAAAGCUCUCCCCAUUCCUGGGCACCAAAGUGGAAGGCAGGGAUGAUUAUCAGACAAAAUAGUUAUAGUGAAAAAAUAUUACACAGUAAUUGUGACCUUCUAAAAAGAGAUGUAGUCAGGGUUGGGUAUGUGGCUCAGAGGUAGAACACUUGCCUAGUAUGCAUAAGGCACUGAAUUCAAUCUCCAGCAUUGGGGAGAGGGAGAGAGAGAGAGGGUGGGGGGCACGUGGAGAUGGGUCUAGCCAGUCUAAGGUUAUAUAGCAGGGGGAAAAUUAUAUACAGCAAUCUCCAGCCUCCUUCCCAUCUCCUUCCUUUCUUUCUUGUUUCAUUUCCUACCUUUCUUUGAUCAAUCUUUAGUCAAACAAGUGAGGGAGCCCUUUGAUGUAGCCAUAAAGACCAGCUCCCAGGGCACAGAGCAGAGAGAAGAAGGAUGCAGUGUCUUUCAAGGAGCAAUGGAAAAUAUCUUACACAAUUAUGAAACAGAUCAUAACAGAUCUUAUUGAUCAAGGAAAGAUUCUGGUUUCAGUCUUCCUAAAAGUGAUAGGAAGCUAGGGAAUAAUGUGCUCAGAUUUGCAUUUAUCAAAUAUAAUCUGAACAGACUGGCCCCAUUCAUGGAGGAUGCAGGAAGUUCAGGAGGUAUUAUGUGGCCCCAGAAGAGAGGUAGGCAGCAUCUACCAAUUUGUCGUUGUGAAAAGUGAGGAUGUGUGGAGGACUCAGGAGGCAAUGAGUUUGCGUUGGUCUGGGAAGGGGAAAUGUGAAAGAGAAUGAGAAAUAUCAGAGGAGAGCUCCAGAUGUGUGGUCUACGGGAGCAAAUGUGUGGUAGUGCCAUUCCCCACAGGAGGACUAGGUUUAGAAGUUGGAUAACAUCAUAACUUUGUUUUGGACAUAGUGAGUCUUUGAGAAAACCAGCAGUAAAUGACCAAGUAAUAACUACAUUUAAGCAGUUAUUUCAUAGCUUGGCUUUUAUUGUGCCCCAACAAGGUUCUCAGCUAGUUUCUCCAAUGCUCAAAAUAUGAAGGCAGAUAUUAUUUCCCCCAGUUUAUGGAUGAGAAAACCAGGCUUAAGGAGGUUAAAUUCUUUGCUUACCUUCAGGACUAAAAACUCAGACAUUUUAACCCUGCUGGAGAUCUUUCUCCUGUGUGCUAUGGUAAUCUAGGCAUCACAGAUGUCUCAAAGAAACCUGUAGAAGAGUGAAUUUUUUUCUGUUAUAAGGUCUUGUUUCAUUUGGGGAAAAUAUGGGCUUUGUCUCUUUGGAUUCGAGAGCAGGCUCAUGUGAGUUUCAGUUAAUCAACUAAUCAGCACUCACUGAGAAAUUAUCAUAUAUUUAGAAUUUUGCUGCCCAUUAUAAAAAGAUUAUGAAUAGUAUAAGACGAUCCUUGAUUCAAGGGUUUAAAAAUUAGGAGAGGGAGCAAAUAAAUACAGGAAACAUGAGUGAUAAUGGGCUGAUAGAACAGCUUGAGGAAAGGACAGAUAAAUAAGUCUUAUUUAGGGGAGACCUACAUGGUGUGUACAAAAGGAAUUAAAAAAAAAAGAGAGAUACUGUGCUGAUGGGCUAAGAAAUUUCAGUAACUGAAUGCUGGUCUGUGGAUUGGAUGUCUCCGUCCCAGAAAAUUUCUUAAGUGUGCAAUUAAUUACAAUUAGCUAAAUGAAGUAUGUGUUAAAUGGUCUGAAAAUUGAAGCUACUGGGAACCUAUUUUAUUUAACAUUUAUUUUUCAGAUUCCUGCAAUCAAGAGUGGUUUUCUUUUUUGAUAGACAAGGGACAGCAAUCUGUUCACAUUUUUGCUGAAGGAAAAGCUGAUAUUGUGACUGUGUUUAAAUCUGAUAGAAUCUAAAUCCUUAUCCCACUAAUGAAAAAUAUCAUCAACAAAUCUUAGUCUAAGAUCUUUGAGCUUCCAAAAAUGUAUUCUUUAUGGGAAAAUCACCUUGAAUUUAUUUCCAAAAAAGAAAGAUAAAACCUUUCUUAAAUAAAGGCAUUUAAAAAAGACAUUUUCUUUGUAGUAUUAUGAUAACUGACCCAACCCUUGCAUGGCGCCAAUGAUUUGCACAGUUCUUUAUAUACUUUAUCUCAUUUGACAACUAAGUAAAGCUGAACUUUACCAGGAAGUUAUGUUGGAUAAAUAGUUCACCAAAGAGGAAAAAAUGUGUUGGUUUAAACAAAUUUAAAAACGAAAAUGAGUCUUGGGUACUUAGAUAGUAAGAAGUCAUGGGUUACCAUAUAGUAAAAUCUAUGCAGCAAUGUAAAAAUGAUAACAGUUGUAUGAAUAACCAACAAUGGAUUGAGCCUUUGCUGUAUACAGUGGUCUAUACAUGUCUGCGUAUUAACUUGAUUAAUCCUACAGAAAUCCCAUGAAGAAUAUAGUCAACCACUUCCACGUUACAGGUGAGGAACCUGAGGCACCAGUGUUUGAGUAACUAGUCCAAGGUUAUAAAACCAAUAAGUGAAGGAGCUGGACUGUGACCCAAGAAGUUUGCCUCAAGAACUCUCACUCUAAAUUGCUAAAAAUGACUUCCACAAUGUAAAUUUUCUUUUAUGUAAACAUUGUUUCCUAAGUAAAAAUGGUAAAAUAGCCAAUAAUUUGUGAACAAAAACAAAGUGAAGAAAUCAAGCAGGUGCUAUUGUGAACACUAACUUAGACUACUUAAUAAAAUCAUAGAAAGGGGAGAAAGAAAAGAAAUAAUUUAUAAAAGAAAUAUUAAUAUAGAAUAAUUUCAUUCCUAAGCAAAGAAAAGAAUAUUUACUUGAGGAUUUAGAAAUGAAAAUAUUUCUAACAUUUUAUCUAUUCACUGAAGAAAGAGAAAGAAAGGUUAAGAUGGAAGAGGUUUAUUUAGGAUCUAACACCUACCCAAUGUUAUCAUUAUUAUAAAAUUUGUUUAAAAUCCUCCCUAAAAGUAUUUCCUGCUUUACUUGGAAAGGAAACUAGGAGUUUAAUAUAGAAUAAUUUCAUUCCUAAGCAAGAAAGAGAGGGUAUAGAAACAAAUGGAAUAUUCUGAAAUCUUGGUCACCUCACUGAAGAUUUCAGGUUUUUCUUUAUCUGCUCCUCCCAUGGGGUGUGGCAGAUGCAAAGGGCAAGUGGCAACAGGAACAGUUCUUCUAACUUUGUCCCCUUUGGGGCCAGGACACUGGCAUCCAUAUUCAGCCAGCUUUUGAGAAUUAUUUUGUGACAGGAAGCAAACUUUGUCCCUUGAAGUUUGAAGAUACUUGUAAUUUGAGGUGGAAAAGAACAAAUCCCCAUCAAUUCUGAUAAAAUAUAAAAGGGAGAUUUUAGGACUGUUUUGCAAUUGAAAAUGGAUGGAAGGACUUUUCCAAAGUCCCUUUCAAGAGACUAAGAAUUUUCCCUAAGGUGUUUUUUUCAGACAAAGAGAGAUGAGUGCAUCUUUCAUGAACACUCCUUAGGAUUAGAAAGUCACUGGGGAGGUGCCCAGGGGUGAGUCUCAGAGAAAUGCUACCAUAUUGCAUGCAUUUAUUUUUUGUUUUGCAUCUUAUUUUUUAUUUCAUUCCAGUAUUAGGUUUCUAAGAUUUAUCCACAGCUGGAGGUGUAGCUUACUUGUAGAACGCAUAUUUAGCAUGCAUGAGGGGUUGGGUUUAAUCGCCAGCACCAAUAAACAAACAAACCCAUAAGUUGAUUUUUAACAGGGAUUUAUCUAUGUUGCUGCUUAAAACUAUAAUUUACUCAUAUUCACUGCUAUAUUAUAUUCUGUGAUGAUUCUUUCAAAUGUAUUUAGUCAUUCUGGAUAGUAGUUUGGGGGGCUUGUGAGUAAAGGCUAAAUAAUCAAGACUAGGCCGAUAUACUCUUUCAAGAAUUUCUCUAGGCCAAUGGCUUUCAACUUUGGUUUUUUAUUUUUAUGAAAAACAUAUAUUUAUAUUGUAUUCCAGUACACAUGCACAUGUUGUAUCCUAUAUACAUAUAAAUAAUUUAAAUAAAAUUUAAUGAAAUUCAGGAGUGUGCUAAAAAGGAGCAAAGUGAUUAUUGAGUAGGUUGACAUGCAGCUACCUGUACUUUUCUGUAUUUAGAGAGUUAAAUUAUGUGUGUGUGUAUAAUAUAAAAAUAUUUGUAUAUUUUACAAAUAUAUGUAGGCAUACCUAUAUAUAUUAAACCAUAUGUAUAAAUAAAUGUUGGGUGUUCUUCCAGCAGUGAGACAGCAGUUUGUAUAUGUACCCCACUUUCCUAAUAAAUACAAGCAGUCUUCGAAUCAAGCAUAGUCUGUGUUCUUAUUUCACAGGAAAGUGAGUAGUUUGGAAUGCAAACUACCAUUUCUAAAGGAGAAAGACAGCAUGAAAUGGGUUCCUCUUGGGGUCUCUAGAGGAGAGUGUUGAUAGUUCCCGUGGUCCCUCUUGCUUCUAAAGCCUCAGCAGGGGAAGGCUUUGCGGGGAGGACCCUGGGGCAGGACUGCAUAGUUAAGAAUGGGAAGCUACUUGAUACUAGGCAGGAGGAGGCCCUCGGGGCUACUUCUCGUGGCAUUGUGUCCUGGGCAGCUGAGGAACAGUGGGAUGGGAUGAGGAUCUGUGAAGUAGUGAUGAUAAAUCAAGGGGAAGCCUCCUUUUUCAUGGGAUCCUUAUGUCCACAGACCCAUCAAUAAUAAGAACACAAAGCCAAAAACAAUGAGCACCACUGGGGAAGGGCAGAUCACAAAUCAAGGGAGACCAGACCUGGGGAAACUUUUCCAGAAAGGAAAGAGAAGUACUGGGCUAUGAAUUAGACAUAUAGCAUGGGCAGGAGGUGCAAUCAAGGUGCAGGGGGAAAGUAUACAAGGCCUGGGUUUGAACAAAUUCUAAUAGCUCAGGUCAGCUGGUUGGAGAGAACUGCAAAGGGAAACACCAGGAGAUGCAGGGAAGGACUGAAUGAAACCUUGACGGGAUGAAGGUUGAGGACUGGCAGGAUAAGAUGGGACAGCUCAGAUCUCAACUCACAGGUAACAUGCUUCUCUCUCUAACAACAUCCCUGCCAUUGCUUAAAAACUACUGUUGAAAUAACUCUCCACAGAUAGAAGACUUGGUGUGUAAGGAAAUAUAUUAGUAGAUUGUAAAAUAACAUGUAAUUUAUUCUUCUAUAUGCCUUAUGCUUUUUCUCUAUUUUUACAAAGAAAUGUCACACAAAUAUUGUUAAACAGAUUAGUGUACAAAGGAAUGGGUGUGCGGAUAGAUAGGUAGGUGGAUACAUAGAUAAGUGGACAUGUGGUGGAUGUAGGAUAGAAUGGAAGGGUGGAAAGUCAGGUGUGUGGGCAGACAAGGUGAGUAGGUAGUGGGUGAUGAGCAGGUGGAUGAGCAUUUGGUGGCUGGCUUGCUGGACACCUAAAGUGUUGGGUGAAUUUCUGUAUAAUCCAAUGAUGAAUUAUUCAACAGCAGACAGAAAUAUGUCAAUAAUGUAAAUCCUAGCAAUGGUUUGUUAGUAAAAUUUUAAUUUAGUUAUAGGAGUCAAGUUUAUCUUUUUAGUAUACUUUUCUGAAGCAAGCACAUCCUUCAAUGAACAUUUGAAUAAAACUCCUGACCCUUUAUUUCUAAAACUAUUCACCACUACCUGACCUAGAAUAGAAUUUGAAAUUUUCUCAAGCACAACCUAUGGCAAGGCCACUGAAAAGAUAAAAGUAUAAUUUAUCUUUGAAUUUUAGAGUGAUUUUUAAAAUUAGCAUUCAACAUUCUAAACAAUGAAGGGAUUCAUCUAUAUUCACAGUUUCAAAUCAGUUUUGUACAACACUAUUUACUUUCAAAACAAACAAACAACCAAACACCAAUCAAUCCACCAGCCAGCCUGCCAAACAACCAAACUGCCCAAAUCCUCAAUCAACUGUAUGUAAGAGGGGUGGUGUGGCAGUUUCCUGGUAAGUAAGUUUUCAAGGAAGAUACUCCUGCUAUUCAAAGUGUGGUCCUUAGACCAGAAGGAUCAGCAUCACGAGUGAGCUUGUGAGAAAUGCAGACUAUUAGGUCCCAUCCCAAACCUACUGAAAAGUUUGAGAAAUAAUUCCAUUUGUACCUUCUUGGAAUUUAAAAUGUAUACACCAUUAUGCAUUGUUUAGUUUUCUUUAAUACAAUGUUUACUAACCUUAUUUGAACAUGGAUCUUUUCUUUUUUCUCUUUCUUUCUUUCUCUUUUCUUUUUUUUUUUUUUACUGGAACAACCAUUUAACAUUACUUGGAAAUUGUGGAACACAGUUGGGGUGAUGCUGAGGUCAAUGCAAACUAAAGCCCUCCCAAAUAAAGCAUUCCAUGUCUGUAUUAAUAAUAUUGAUAUAGGUGCACAUGUUUAUGUAUGUGUAUAUAUGCAUAUGUGUCUUUUUAUCUACUUACCUGAUAGAAAUUAGUCAUGAUUAUACUUCUAAUGUUUAAUGAAAACAAAAGGGAAAACAGAUUUGUUAGAUUUGAGAAAAUGGCAGAAUGCAAUUUUAGGUUCUUUGUGAAGAGGAGGAAUUUUGAGAGAAUGGAUUAGUUGAAUCAUGAGGUCAGUGUCUACUGAGGAAUAUGUAUAUAGGGCUGGGAUUUCUUUUUACCUUUCAACAUCUUUUCCAAAAUCUAUUUUCUUCAGUAUAGAGGGCACAGUUUUUAUGCACUUUCUCCCACAUGUUCCUAUUCAAAUAUUUUAUUUUUAGAAAGAAUUCUAUUUGGAGGAAACAUUAAAAUUUUCAUAGUCUUUUAAGACUGUUUUUAAAGAACAUUAGUUUUUAUAUGAAGUUUCUUUGGGCAAGUACAAAUUGAUAUGAAAGAUUUGGAUUUAAUUUGAUGUUAUUGGAAGUAAUCUAAAAAUAAACAAUACUUCCUAGUGGUGGUGGUUCAAUCUUUUAAAGCAAUAUUUUGAACAUAGUAGGUAUUUUGAACAUAGUACCUACCCAAAAGCACAUGGAUCCCACCCCACACCCAGCUUCCUGAAUCACAUGGAUCCAGGAUGGAGACUCUUUUUUAUUCCAGAGACUGAACACUUGAGAAUAGAAAUGACUUUGUCAUUGCGCAGUUCACUUUAUUCUGAACAGUCUUGGGGAUGAGUGGGAGUAACAGUAAGACUAUGCCAAGGCUAUCAAAAUGAGGCAAUUUUACAGACAUCUUUCACUUUAAUAGGUACACAUUUAUCUUUAUAUGAGAAAAAAUAUCAUCGACAUAACAAAUAUGCCACUUCCUAGAUAUUAUCACUUAGGACAAGGUUAAAUUUUAAAAGGGAAGCUAUUUUUAAAAAGAAAAUAAUAUCCCAGGUGUGUGUGUGUGUGUGUGUAUAGACAUUGUGACGGUAGUUAUGUAAAGGUUACAGUGUGGGAAUAUUCCUCUAACCCAGCCCUUUUGUUCUGUGGAUGAAAAUAAAGCCCAGUAUACAUGGAAGUUUGUGGGAAUUAGGGCCAAGGAUUUUUUACUUCUCAGAACCAUGAUAAAAUCUCUGCAGUUGCCUCAGACAAAAAUGCCUUAAGUAUAUCUGAAUUAUCCUUGUGGUGUCAAGUUAUCAAUCACAGUAAAUUUCUAUUUCCUUAGAUAGUGGAUAACUGAUUAUAAGAUUCAGUUCAUAAUUUUCAGUAUUCUUCAAAACAUUCAGAUACAUUAAAGAAUACAAUGAAGUAACCUCUCCCUCAAAAAUAGGUUGAGUUUACCUUACCUGGAGUAUGAACCAGAAAUUGUCAUAGGGAUUUGCCUCACACCUGUGACCUCUUUUCUGGGGGUUGAUUUUUCCUAUCAGUCAGAUGAAAACUUGAUCAAGUCAUGAUUUUGCCUCCAAUUUCUUUAUGUAAAACAUAAAGGAAAAGAUGCUUUAUGCCACUUAACUUCCCAGUGACUUAUUUUCUCCACCUGUGAAAUACCACUUUAUCAAUCUCUCAGGUCACUCCUAUCUCCAAGUUCCUAUGACUUCAAAACUAUUAUAAAAAUGAAUGGUGCAUUAAACCCAUAGAGGUAGCUGAACUUCCAGGGAGACAUGGUUAUUCGAUAUUAAAACUGGCAUAUUUAAGUGCCUACUAUGUUACAAGUAUUCAACACACAUUGUCUUGUUUAAUUUGCUUAGCACAUGAACACAAUUCCUUUUUCACAUGGAGAAACUGGAGUUCAGAGGAUUGCAGUAACUUAUUCAAGAUCACACAGCUAGUGAGUAGUAGGGCUGAGAUUUGAGACCAGCUCUUCUUUUCUCAGAAGUUCACUCCUUAACUUCCUCAUUCCAAACUCCAUUUCCAUGGCCAAAGUGUUAUUGCCAAUACCUUUGAGGUAAAGUUAUAGAGCAGGAUUGCAGAAAAAAUACCCUUCCAUUUGUAGGUUUGUCAACACAGGUGAAAAAACAUUCUAAGGAUUGCCUAAUCAGUGAGAAUAUUGAGGACAUGUAUCAUUUUGUGCCUAAUUCCUUAAUAUAUGGAAUAUAUUAAUGACGUUCAGUUUAUCAAAUGCAAUUUGCAAGUGAAUUUGCAAUUGAAAAUCCAAACUCUAAUACUGAUAUAGAUUCUAGAGAAUAACUGAUUAAAUAUUAUUCACAGAAGAUAAAUGAAUAGAAACCAUAUGAAUAUUUGAAGGCAAGUAAAAGUAGACUCAUGGUUUUAGGAUUAUUCAGGAUUGGAUUUCAUUUUAUUGAAAAUAGAAAACAAAUAUUGUUACUACCUGAAAGAAAAUAUGAUUUUUUUUUAUAGAAAAAUGGGAACAAAUAACAAAAUUUGGGAAAUGUCUAAAAUUACAAUCAUUAUAUUUAUUGCUGGAGGGCUACAUUUUACAGCAAACUAGAAGUUUGUGUGUUUAUUUAUGCACAUAUUUAAGUGCUGAGUCAAAAAUCAGAUUUAAAAAAAUGUAUUAAGUAGCAUCGACUCACUGUUGCAGCAGGCUUCAAACAUAAACUGUAUGCAGAUUUGGCAUUAUCAUUUGAAAUAAUAACGGAGAGAAAUUCACUUUGAGACCAAACCGUUUUGAUCUGCAAAGUGGCAAGAAAAACAAUUUCUUCAGGACACAGAGAAUCAACUUUAGAUAAUGUGUGCUUUGAAAAAAUAAGAAGUAAGCCUUCACUUCUAGCUUGCAGGCUUACAUCUCACCAUAUUCCAAACUCGGGGCUCACAGAAAUGAACGAAAAAUAAUCCUUAAACUAGCACAUUCAUACCUCAUAAAAGCAAAAGCUUUCCUAUUUCAACCGAUAUUCAUUUAAACAGCAAUCUGCAAAAUGGUCAGCCUUUCAAGUGAAUUAGUCAGUUCAUAUGCCUAACAUAAUCACCUAUUUUGGACAAGAUGCUCUGAUGAACAAAUGUUCAGAUUGAGAGUAAAAUGAAGGUAACUGUGAUUUUUCCCAGCGGCCAUCAGCUUGUGAAUAUGAACGAGAUUACUUAAAAUAAUGAUUUCAUUUUUACUGGCUUCACCUACAUGAUACAGUUCCCCAAAAGCCAUGUAAAGCUUCCCCACUGUCAAACAUGCUGGUUCUUCACUAACCAGGCUGGCUGGUGCCCUACCAGGCUGGCUGUCCUAGGGCACAUGCCCACUCCUCUGCGGCUACCCCAAUGAGUCUACCCCACUGAUUCCUUGGGUUGGGCCCAUGUCAGGGCAGUAUCUUGGGUGUAUAGGAGAGAAGACUGUGAUUCACUCUGACUCCAACAGAUAAAGCACAGACUUGAGGACCUGAUAACUAGUGGAUGAUCACUUGUGGGGGUUUGUUAAUUAAUCAGACCUACUAAUGAACUGGGGAACUGCCCAAGAGCUCUUGUAAACUGUGGUAAGUUUGGCUUGGAGAAUGCAAUUUGGAUCUAAAGCCAAGUGUGUCAUCUCAUCCCCAUGAACUUUCAGGCCGUAAGGCCAUCUGGAGCCUGAAGUAGGCCAGGACAGUGAGAGAAAGGACAAAGUCACCACCUGGCCAGGAGCAUGGAAGAUCACAGGCCUCUCCUGUAAACCCCAUUAUAUGCUGACCUGAGAGUAGGGAGGGAAGUAAGUAAGGUCAGAGGCUGACUCUCCUCUUAGGUUUCAUCGUGAGGCACCAGGGACCUGGGGAUGAGUGCCACUGCUCCCACACAGGACAUAAAGAGCAAGAGACCUGAGCGGACAACACAGGGAGAUUCUCCCCAGAGGCAGCCAGGUUCUCUCCAGUCAGAGCAGCUCAUUUCUAACUUUGCAAAGAAGCAGGUAUUGACUGGCAGAGAAGCUAGGAAUGUUCUUCGCAGCCACAGCCUUGAGGGAAGGAGGAUAGAAGCUCUGUGGAAAGUGAACAUGGGGCAUUGAAUGCUUCCCCAGGACUGCACAGUUGAAUGGCAUGAAGUGCCAUGAGGAGGGGUCAGGGGAGAGCUGCAGUCCUGGCUGUGUGUUACAUAUACUCUUAUUUGAGGGAUCCCCAUACCUACACCCCAGUAUGAAGAGAGUUCUUUCAGUGUUGGUUUAUCAUCUUUCUGCCUUCCCUGGGUCUAAUGCGCCUGGCAGAGGAGGUAAUCCAAGUGGCAGCCCUGCCCGUGCACAGAGUCCCCUCUCCUCCAAAGUGAGGGAAGAACAAUGCGUCAUUGGCUUGGCCUUUCGUGCUUGGCUGUUUCCUUUAGAAUUAGUGUUUUCCGGAAGAUGUCACAGCCCCUUGCCUCCUGGAAAAAUCUUCUUUGGAACAGUCCCAAGAAUCUGCUAGACCUCUGCAUGUAUGUCCAAUCCCAAAAGUAAUUAGAGUUUUCCUCACUAGGAACUUCUCUUUUAUCCAACACCAGUGGGUGUCCUGUGAGUUCGCCAGACGAUGCCAACCAUACCCGUACUCCAGCAGCAAACCUGGCCCCAGCCAGUAGUCAUCCCCACCUGGCAUAAGUCAUAAUCUAAUUAUCAUCAAGUAGCUACCUAGGAGUUGGUUAACUUAUGUAAAAUUAAUCUUUCAGGCACUUAACCCAUGAAAUGAAGGAAAAAGAUAAAAAAGAGCUCAGGAAGUCAUUUAAAUGAAAAAGUCCAUUAAUUCCUCUAUUAAUUCCUGCUUUGUUUUACUCAGCAUUUAUUUAGUACUUCUGUAAGUGAUAAACACACCGUCUGGGGAUAAGAAGAUAAAUAAGAUUUAGUCCCUGUCAAGAAAUUCACUGUCUGGGGAUAAAGGCCAACACAUAAACAGGUUACUGCCACCUGUCAUAAAUCCUUCUGCACCAAAGGGUGGGUAUUACAAAUUUUAUAAAAAUGCAACAUGCAGAAAUGCUAAAACAGACACACAAAAUGACAUGAGGUGCAGGGAGGAACAGCUAAUUUUUAAUACAACCACUAGGCAGUCCCUAAAUUGGAAAAAUUUGUGAAAUUAUAAAAGAUAAGAACUUUGGUUUAAUUUUUUGGUAUUAUGAUUAUCCAGGCCUAGAUUUCUAUUACAGUGAAUGUUUAAUGUGAUUAUUUUGGGGGGUUUAUUUAUAGCAUAUUCAUGGUAGCAAUGACCAGUAAUGAACUUCGGCUUAUGAAAAUAGAUCCUUAAUAAAGUAAACUCAUUUACUGGGAAACCAUUGGAACAUUUUGGUCCUGUGGAAAAACACAGUUAUGUGUUUUCUGAUAAUUUAUUUCCUGCUUAUGUAACUGACCUGCCAUGUUUAAAGCAUUAUUCAAGCCAAUGUUUCAGAAAAUCGAGCAACUGUUUUUCUCCAAAAAAGAAAAGAUUACUUUUAAGAUUUGAUAUGUACUUGUUUCCUGGUUUUAUUCAGUUUUGAGAUAAAAAUUAAAAUUGAAAAGUAUUUUUAGUAUGGCCUUUUUAAAUCACUGAACUUGGAAGUCAGUAGCUCAUUUGAUCUAUAUUAUUUUUCUGGCUCUGUGGGUCAAUGCUUUACAACCACUGAUAGAGAGAGUUCCUUAAAUAUGAUCAGAUUGAAGGAUUUGGGAAUGUGAUCCACUGAUUCCACAAUCUAUUGAUCCACCGUUCCUUCUUUCUUUUUACAUUGCUUUCUUUCCCCCCACUUAUAUUUGGACACAGACUCUUGUUUUUAACUUUGCCAGCUCCUACCUUGAGCUUUUCAGUGGUAUAUUUGAAUAUUGUUCAGCUUUUUGAUGAACAUCAGUUUCAGUAAAUGAUUUUGUGAACAUGUUUUAAUAACCUAGUAUAAAUCUCUCCUUACAGACAAUAUUCAAGUACAGUACAGAUAGACCUCGCAUAAAGUAGAAAUUGAUAUGGACACAAAAUUAUUGAGCCUGAUAUUUAUGGGAGUUCAUACUGUUUAAUAUAAUGGAUGAUUAUGUACAGUGGAUAUCUUUAGUUUCUCCAUCUGGUAGCUCCCUGAUUUUUUCCUUGGAGACUCAAUUAUCCCUACCUGAGUCCAGAAGACAAGGAAAUUGACAAAUUUGGUAUAUCAUGGGCACCGCAGUGCUUGCAAUGGAAGUGGACACAGGACACAAGAAAGGUUAAUCAAAGCCAGUCCUGGGACUUCUUCAGGAACUAAUGAGUUUUGGUGAGAGUAAGCUUAUAGCUGUUGGAAACAAUCUGCUACCUAAGGAAGACAUCAUCAUGCUGGCACAUGCCUGCAAACCCAGUCACUUGGGAGGCUGAGGCAGGAGGAUUCCAAGUUGGAGGCCAGUCUAAACAACUUAGUGAGAACUUGUCUCAGAAUAAAAUAACAUAAGGACUGUGAACAUAGCUAAGUGGAGUAUACAUAAGGCCCUGGGCUCAAUUGGCAGUCAAGGGCAGGGCAGUGGAGAGGGGGUGGAUACAUCACAAAGAAAGCAAAGCUGAGAUCUGGAGGGGAGAUAUCCUGGUCCUAAUGCCAUUAUUUCAGCCUCAGAUCUCAUGGGCCUUGAGGCUAAUGAAACAUUUUAUGUCUAAAAAAAAAAAAAAAAAAAGGAACUGAUAUGCUACUAAAUUUACUGUAGCAUAUUACCCUUAUACUUGAAGUUCACAUUUACCUCUUUUGAAGUCUUACUGUCUCUUGUCUGUCUCCCCCAGUAGAUUUUAAAUGCCUUGAAAUCAGAAUUCCCCACUAUCCAGCAAUUAACAGAUUCUCAAUAAAUAUUUCUUUGACAAUCCCGAAGCUACCCUUAAAACAAAAAUCACACAGUGAGAUAGUUAUAUAUUGAUAAUAUAUAUUAACAUUUCUUUUUUAUGAAGGCCAGAUUUAUUAAACGGGUGAAAGAAUACACAAAAAGCAUGGGAAUACUAGACCCAAAGAGGGGUCAAGUUCGAAUUUUAUAAUAAUCAAGUUGUCACAUUUCUAGGUAGGAGAUGAGACACUAGUUGAUUGAAAAAUAUUUGGGAAAGAUUUUGCACUUUUCAGUUCCAGGUAAUGGAACUGAAUAUAAUAAGGUACCUGGAGAGACAUGACAGUUUCUUUUUAAAAUAAAAUUUCUGGCAUUAUAGGUCCAGAAUGACUAGCUACCUAGAUGAAGUCCCAUAAUUUAGUUUCACCAUGUCUGCUCCAACAAAUUUUCCACAAAAUUAUAUCUACUACCUGUAACAAUAGUAGAGAACUUCACUUUACUCUGAUAGAAUGGAAUUGCUAGAACAGGAGAAAUCAUCCUUUAUUCAUCUGUGCAUUUAACAAUUUGGAGUUUCCUCUUAUGUCCCGUCCCUGAAAAGUUCACAAACAGAAGAUGAGAACUGUCACUACCUGUCACUGCUUGAAACGCCUAGUGGUGGGGUCCGCUUAUCCAUGGAUUUCUGGAUAAACAAGAAUUAAUAACUAAGAAAGAUCAAUGAGAGAUCAAUGACGGACAGAACAUACAAUUUGUCAAUCAAGACAAGCAGUCUUUAGAGAGGCAGGAAAAGGUAGAGACUAAUUACAAAACUUUAUUAAAGAACUUUGUAAUUAAUCUACACUCUACUUCCUCUGUCAUGAAAUACCCAGACCUGGAAGGAGCAGCAUACAAAAAUGAAUAAAGAAACAUACCGCCCUGGCAGCCCCACUUUCCAUCACACAUGCUUCUCCCUCAGAGCCCUGUGCCCCACAGAAGCUCCUAAUUGACAGGAGAUGAGGCCCACCCACCUGCAGGUAUAGAAAUAUUGGAUGUCCGGCUAAAGGCAGUUACCUGUUUUCUUUCUCAAACUUGCAGUUCUAGUUCAAUUGAAGAAUAACUGAAAGUUCAAUGUCUAAUGGCUUUUCACCAACAGAGUUCACCUUCAACAUUGCUUGACUUCAUUUUGGGAAAGAGACUUCUUAUCCUGCCACCUGAAAUCUAUACCAAACUUUAAAACCCAAAGCCUUCAUUAUUAUUUGACUAGCUUCACCCUUCCUGGUUUAGGAAGAAGCUGAGUUCUGUGUGAUCCUGUGGAUGGAUGUUUAGCACGCUUUGUUCCUUGGUGGUAAGCAUUAUUUAGCAAGACUUUCUGUCAGUUGUUUUCUGAAUUCUAAUUACUAAGAUUUUAGCUUCCCAAGGCAAAUACAAUCUUACUCUGUGUGUGUGUGUGUGUGUGUGUGUAUGUGUAUGUGUGUGAAAAUUUCAACUUCACAUGUUCAUUCUGAAUUUUUAUGAAUAUAUUACUUUGGUAAAAUUCUUUUUUCCCUCUAAGUUCUUUUUAGUCCUUUGGGUUUAGAAUAAGCUCUGCGGACUUAUUAGUAGGACAAACCAGUUCUUUACCAAGAGGCUGUAUGCCACACCCUUGCAAUGGCAAGCAGACUCUUAUUUUUUAAAAAAUUUUUUUAGUCAUAGUUGGACACAAUACCCUUAUUUAUUUAUUUUUAAUGCAUUGCUGCAGAUCAAACCCAGUGCUUCGUAUGUGCUAGGCAAGCGUUGUACUGCUGAGCCACAACCCCAGCCCCUAGACUCUUAUUUUUUAAAUUAUAGGAUUAUAAUUUAAAUAAACAAGCAACACUGUUUUUUUAACCACUGUUUUUAUUGAAGUAUUGAAGGAUAUGUGUGAGUAUCAGUAAUGCAGCCAAGAAUACCCUUGAAAAUAUUCUGUAUAAGAUGCCCUUAUCCAGAUGGCCUGAAAAUAAAUGUUCAGAAGUAUAGCUUGUUUUCCCAGGUAUGAUGAGUAUUGCCCCAAACACUGUAGUUUCUAAGGGGAUAUCAGCCCAGAUACUUUAAUAUAAUCCACUUCUCAUUUCACAGUUAUAUCAAUUGUUAAAAUAAUUUAAUACCAGGUGAUAAAAUGGACAUAAAUGUCCCUGAACUUUUUUUAAAGAAUAUGGAAGUACAUUCACUUUCUUUUUAUGUGACUUUUAUCUUAUUACUAUACAAAUAUAUAUUUAUAUUAUAUAUUACUACCUAUAUUUUGCAUUAAGUAACCACAUAUAUUUAUUGUUUUAAAGUUAGAAAUAAUCAUACAUAAAAGAAAAUCUACCCGCAAUCCCACCACCCCCUCUUCACAUUUUAAUAUUUAUAUAUGUAGAUUGUCUUAUUUUUGUAACCUAUCUUUUUACUUAAAUAGUAAGCAAUUUUCCAAUGCUUUCAGAAUCUGCUUCCAACCUUGAAUCUAGAAGCAUAACCUGAAGGUAACCCUCAUGAUCUUGGUAUAUAUAUAUAUAUAUAUAUAUAUAUAUAUAUAUAUCUACCAUAUAUUUAUAUAUUUGGAAGAAAUCCUAUUCUUUUGUUGACUUUGUAACUAAAAGAUCUAUCUUCCUAUAUAUCAUGAACAGAAUAAUUCUGAAGCCUCCCCUUAGAUUUAUGAGUCAUUUAAUGAUAUUGUCUCUCCAGUUCAGGUUUUUCUUAAAUCAAUAAAGUUUUCAAAAAUAAUUGAUUCAGCCAAGAGGAACCAGGAGAGUGCUUUACAAAGGAUGCUACAUACAGGAACUUUGUUGAAUAUCAGAACCAAUUCUCUGGAUCCAUGUGUGAUUCAACUUUGUAAUAAUACCAGUGUCUGGAACAGGCUAAGCCAGCAGUAAAUCCUAAAUGAACAUCAAACAAAAUGAAACAAGUUACAUAAGAAAUCCUAAUUCUACAAUGUCAACACUGGGGUUGAAGCCCCAGGGGCUAUUGAUUAUGUUUUUCAAAUUUAAAUCUUUGAAUAAAGUGAGACACUAAUGAAAAUUAUUCAAUAUUUUAAUAAUUUUGUAAAAUAGCCUAGAAGUGGCAACACUAGUAAUAACCAACAUUUUUUGGCAUUUAAUAUGUACUGGACAUUAAAUACAUGUGAGUCUUUCACAUAUAUGUUUCACAACAUUAUGAGGCAAGUGUUUUACACCCCAUUUUACAGAUGCUGUAACUAAGGGACAGAGGUAAAGUAAACUGCCCAAUACUCAUGUGGAUAUUCACAUCGCAAACAGCAAAGGCUUUGUGUGACUCAGAUGCCCCUUGCCUCUUGCAUCAUCCAUACAACCUACGUGACAUUCCACAGAUGUUUAUAUGACUCCAGAGCCCAUUCUAUAUCUAGGCUAAACUUCCUGACCUCUAGCAAAGCUGGACAAAGAGGCCCUCUGAUAGGACUCAUAUGUGAACUCCACCAAUGGUCCAGAUUCUUAUGUGGUUCAAGGUAACAGGAAUGUCUCUAAGAUUAUCAAUCCCAGAAUACAAAUUAACCAAUAUUUCAGUUUUCCAUUGGGUCACUGGAAAUAAUUCUUGAUUGUCUUCUCCUUCAUUAAGAUAAUCCCAGCUUUGAAAACAUUGUCAAAAGGGUGGUAGCCAUAGUAGAGAAUAAAGUAAACUGAAAUGAAUUACCAGAACUUUAUUAAAGCUGAGAGUUACAUGACCAAUUUUAAGGGAUAAAGAAAAAUGAAAAAUAAGCAACUCAAAAAUAAGAUGAGUUACCCAACCUACACAAUAUUACAUCAGUGAAAAAACGGCAGCAGUGUUAAAAAGAGAGACAGCAUUUCCAAGGCUACCUGAUGAGUCUUUGAAAGAGAAGUCCAGCUGGCUCUAACCUUUUAAAAAGUGAGAUUUUUUUUCCCUAAGAUGUUGCUAACAAGCCUAUAGGACAGCUUCCCCAUCAAAGGUGAACUCUAAAGAGCAACCUGACUCUAAGAAUAUCCUCUAAUAUCUAGGAGGAAUACUGUGGUUCUGUUUGCUCACUAACCCCACAAUGUAGUUCUUGCCAGUGGUGGCUAUAGAAUUUCUCUGAAAUGUAUUUUCUUGGAAUGAGAUGAAGUAACUCCAAAUUAUAUUUGCCUGCCCCAUUCCAGGGGCUAAAGUAUUCUUGACACCUUCUAUCAGUGUUUCUCAGGCUUGUGGAGAAGAGAGAUGGGUGUUGAAUAAUGAUACCAUGGAAAGCCCUCAGGUGGACCACAGUCACUUGUGGCUCGUGGCUACUCAGCAAGGGUAGGGGUAAGAAUUGCUUUUCCCCAGAGAUUUUGGAAAGGACGAGUGUGGUACAGGUAAAGAAGGUGGUGAGGGGGGUUUUACACUAAGAAGGUUAGAAAUAAAGACACAGCAGUGACAAAGCAUCUCCAAGGAAUAGGAAAUAAACAUGGUUGUGUAAAAUGCAGAUAGUGAGUGGUGGAUAGGUAGGACAGAGUCUAUAAAUUAGCCAGAUAUUCUGCUGCAGCUAUUCAUCAGGUGGUGAACCAGCCCUUCACGAACCAUGAACACAGCUUUGCUCUUUUGCUUGUGUGUUCCUUCCUGUAUCCUGACGGUGGUGGUGGCGGUGGUGGGGUGGUGGGGUGUGUAUUUGAACAUUCCUUCUCUCUGAGUGGCUAGCUCCUUGAGGACCAGCCACAUGAGUCAGGGGACAUUUCAGUCUGAGAAUCAUCCCUGGAGUUAGGGGCGGUGCAAAAGUGGCACCCGUAAGAGAACACCAUAUGGAGAAGUUGAAAUCAGUUAGAAAACAUCUUUUAAGCAAGUUGCUGAGUAAAAAAUGAAAACAUAACAAUGCUAAUUAAAGAAUGUUUUCCAGAGAGGAUAAAUGUUGGAUUCAAAAAGAAAAAGAGAACUGGCACCAAGGAGCCCUUAUAGGGUAAUGGAACUAAGAAGCCUCACACUGCACGUGCAUGCUGGAGGUAUUUGAGCAAUGGAUUAGGACUGUGUCAGAAUCAGUGAGACACUAAUGAAAAUUAUUCAAUAUGAGUGACUUGAGAAGGUGAAGGCUGAUCCAACUCUCUUUACAGGAAGUAGGUGAGUGUAAACCACAAUAAGUAAAUAAGUUAUGAUAAUGCUGGAAGAUCCCUAUCCCUUGGCAGGAUGUAAAUAAUCGUUUUCAAUCCAGGCCACUCCAAAGUUCUUGAGAAGGGGAAAAUUCUUAUUAAAAUGAUGUUUGAGGAAAAAUUUUUUGGUAGUGAUUUAUGUCUCCCCACAGAAUGGAGAUACUGGAUUCAAAAGUAAAAGGGACCGAUGAUCCCCUUUUGAUGACCUUGUCUCUGAAGUAGCCAAUUCUGUAUCAAAACCUGAGGAGAGAGAAUAAAUAGACCAGAGGUUUGGGUUCUAGCCUUGAUUUUCGAUGGGCUACGAUUCCUCCUUUCCAGUCUAACAACGUAGAUCUUCUCUUUUUAAACCUUUUUUGUCUCUACUUUUGUAUAUUAUCUGGGACAAGUCACAUCAGCUCUCUGGGUAUCAGAUUCUUCAACUGUAACACAAGCAGGUACAACCAGGAUUAUCACUGAGGAUACUUUUUCAAAUUUAGAAUGAAACUUCAAAUACAAGUAAAUCACAAUCCUAGACACUUCUUCCAUGAGCCCAAGAGAGUGAUUAGUUCAGGGUUGAUUUUAUAAUGUAUGCUUUUUCACAUUUUAACAUCUCUGUUCAAUGUCCUAUAACUGAUGGUACUUUACAAUCAUAAUUUUUUCUUUCUUAGCAGCUCAUAACAUAAUGAUAUGUUGUACAUUUGAAUUUUCUUCUAACUCUCAAAUACAGUUAAGCUCAGAGUAUAUAUACAGGCAGAUCUGUCAAACAUCCAGCGUCACAUUAUUUAGAUGAAUAAGGAGCAGAGAUGGACUAGGACAAAGAGUGUCCAAAGUGGUUGUCACUUGUUUCAUUAAUUGUCGUUUCAGAAAAUUCUCGUGUACUGGAAGAUAAUUCCUCCACAUCUCCUGCUCCACGUCUAUCUUCAUAAUUGACUCUUCCAAAGAAGGCUCAGAGUCCUCAGGGAUUUAUUGGUGAAAGCUUUUAUUAUACUAUUAAUUGCUAUUGUAUUUAUCAUCAUAAUUAUAAUUGAUCCAGGCCAAUGCUUUUCAAAGUGUAGACUAAAACUUAUUUGUGGAUUGAACAAUCAAUACAAUGAGUCACCAUAGUGUUUGAGCAAAUAAAGUAACACAAACUAAAAUAGAAACUCUCAGUAUCCCAUAGAGUGAGAGCAUCAUUUCCUGAGACAUCAUUUCGGAUGUAUUUACUUAUGUAUAUACAUGCAGAUAUUCACACAUGGGAGUACUGGUUUGUGGUUUAAAUUGUAUUUCCAUUGCGGGUUGUGGUCAAAAAGAGAUGCAAAAAUGCCAUUCUAGAGCCUGCUUUGGAGGUGGCUGUGGCUAUUGCAAAUAGCUUUUAGAGGGAGCAAAAACAUAGAGAGAUACUGAAUUUUGAGCAGUAGUAUUUGAACAGAUAAAGUAAUGUAAACUAAAAUACAGUAAUUGAGCAGUGUCUUUGGUCCUCAUGAACGAUUUGGUCCGUUACCACACCAAACACAUUCUGGCAAAAUAAAGGGGAAUAAGUUGAGCAUCCCUAAUCCAAAAUUCCAAACUCCUAAAUGUUGAAUUCUUUGAUCACCAACAUGAUACCACAAGUGUGUGACAGGUUGUGGUCAAAUACAAGCACAUUAAAAAUAUUGUAUAAAAUUAUCUUCAGUCUAUGAGUAUAAGGUGUAAAGGAGACAUAAAUGAAUUCUGUGUUUAAAUGCAGGUCCCAUUGUGAGAAUAUUUUAUUAUGUAUAUCAAAAUAUUCCAAAAUUCAAAACUAAAACAUUUCUGUUCCCAAGCAUUUUGAAUAAAGGAUACUUGGCCUAUACUUUGGAUGGGCUUGAACCCUUAUAAAUAAUCUUUUGUGAAUCUGUUCUAUCUACAGGGGCUGUCUAUUAUCUAGGUUCAAGAGUGUUCUUAUUUGAUGCCCCCUGAAUAUCUAAUUUAACGAAUAAAUCAAUAGAAAUUUAUAGCAAAAAAUUAAUUGACUUCUGACAGUUGGUGAUACAAUUUGUUUUGUAAGAAAAUCCCUGGGGAGGUUCUACUUUGAAAUUUUGACUCAAAUGUUUUAAUAUCUUUUAGGUAGAACACUCACUAAAGGAAAGUGUCAUUGAGGAAGUGGAGAUUGUUAAAUAUCUUUCCUUCCAAAUUGCUCAGAAUGAUAAACAGUCAGGCCCCCUUGCUGGCCUAUCGUCUCAUUCCAUGUUUCCUACACUGACUGUCUGAGCUUCUUCUUUCACUUCUAUUUCAAGCAUCCUUCCUGUACGUCAGAGCAGGGGGUUCCUACAAAGGGGGAAAUGAAACCAGCAGCUGUGAUAAUGAAAGUGGGAAAGUUUUUUUUCCACUAUAACCACUGUAGGUAGGGGAAUCAGUGGCUUAACCAGAGGAUAUCCGUGGCCCUCAGCUUUUCAGAUCAACAUUCUUCUGACUCGCUUUGAGAUUCUGUCCAGGUGUAGGGCCCUGUGAUUCUCUGGGAUCUCUUCAUGCAGCCAUUUCCUUUGAUAAAUGAAGAAACUAAAUCCUAGGCAAGUCAGAUUCUAUCCCAAAGUCAGAAAGUCCAUGACUGGCAGAUGGGAGGUGACUAAAAUGUCCCAUAGAAGAUGGGUUACAUUAAUUUAAUUAACUGCACUUAGACCCUUUCUCAGGGAGACUUUAAAUCUUUGGGAUAGGCCUCAUACCUGACUAAGAUACUUUAAAUCUAUUAUUGAGUUUAUAAGUCUAAGUUUAUAUGUAUCUCCUCUUAGUAGAAUUUAUGGUAGAGGGUUAGAACUAAUAAAUUCUAAUUAAUUUUAUGAAUUAUUUACUCUUGUUUUAAAUUCCUUGCAAUUGUUCGGCAUACUCUAGAGCAGAGUGGGGGGAAAAGCUGUGUUUUCUUUCUCAAGAUGUUUGUGAGAAAUAUUAGUAGUGAGCAGAUUUCCUCCAUGUGGACAUUCUACACAGUAAUUUUCUCUAUCCAUUUGAGUACUGAAAAGUAAUAUCCUCUCCUGUUACCAAGGGCAACACAGAGCACCUGGUUUAAGUGUAGGACUGAGUCACUGAUACUUUAAAAGAAAUUAAAGUGCUCUAUUUAUAAGUUGGAGAAUAUAGGAGAUUUAGAAAGGGAGUGGCCUUCAAAAAAAUCAUUAUUUUGAAUGAGAAAAGGAAGACAGAAUUUAAAAUAAGCAAGAUGAGCAAGACAGAAAAUACUUUCUGACAUGUGAGGGAGCAAACAGCCUCAGAUGUCUUUGAUUAGUGUGUUUUCACAGAGUUGGCUGUCAAGAAACUCUCUAUCCAAAUGAAUUCUGUUUUUCAGUUCAUAGCUCAGUAAAAUAUGUUUUGUUAGAAAAAAAAAGAAUUUAUCUUGAAUAGCAUGGUUAAAACUGACAAAAUAAAAUAUUUGAAAAAAAUUAAAGCAAUCUGAUAAUGGAAUAAUUAUAUUCAAAAUACCAAAAUAUAUACAAUAAUGAUAAAGAUGCACAUCAAAGUUCACUCCUUCAAUCAUUAUGCAAUAAUUUAACUGUUAGUGAAAAUUAAUAAAAUAUAUUUUUGAUAUAUUGAACAGAGAGAUUAUAAACUUACAUAUGUGAAAUUAGUCAUUAGAGUUCUAUAGUUCUUCUUUCUCAUUACUCUUCUUUAAAGAAAAUCAGCAGUCAUCUUAAUAGUGGUUCCUGAAAAAUCUUAAUAUUAAUAGGGGGAAUCUUUGGUGAAAUUUUGGAGGGGUGUGUGUGUGUGUGUUUUCUGUUUUCUUUAUUUUUAAGGUCUUAUAAAAUCACUGUGAAUUAGUAAUAAAUGUGUUUUGAUAUGGGGGGAGGAUUUACCCUUCCUUCCCAUAGAUAUUUACUCUAUCUUGUUUAUAGGCAAUAACAUUUUAACAAUUGGCUAGAAUUUUCUUAAUUUAUGUUGAAAUCACUUCAUUUUUCCUGAAUGUACCUGACAGUUUUGAUUAACAAGAUUAUAGAUGAGAAUAUAAAAUAAAACAAAAAUGGUUGUAAGCAUCCAAAUGAUGUUACAAAGUUCACCCCCUAAAACCAACAGACCGACCAAUUCGACACACUGAAGGUCAGGUGUCCUGCUUAUGUACUAACUCAGCUCCAUUUCCUGUUGCCUCAUACAAACUUUUGUUCACACAGCUAUUUGACUUCUAAAUCCUUAGUAGAUUAGAGACAAAUUAGAAGGAGAGUUUAGGUGGGUAGAGCAGCUGCUGAUAAUGUGGUGACAAGGGACAGAAAAGUGUAAGAAGAAAAUUCAAGAGAAAACUUUUAAACAUCCAGUUGAUCUAGGAAUUGCGCAUGGGAGCAAGCAAGUUCAGAGCCAGGACCCAGCUUAUCACUGUGGAACUGCAGAGACCAUAACUUAAUUUUAACAAUAGUUAAAACUCAGUAAUAAAGGAAAGGCAAGGAUACAACUAGAGUGUACUUUUUUAAGAAAGCAAAACAUGUUAUUUAAUACAAUUUCCAAGUGAAAUAAUAAAAAUAUUCUAGUCUUCAAGGGAUAAAGUUAUCAAGUUAUUGGAUGACUCAUCCCCAGAUGUUUCAGAACAACUUAUUUUUAUUGUAAUUUUUUAAGCUUUUGCUCACUUUUCUCAUCACUUGGAAACAGUUGCUUCUUUGCAAGUAUUAGGCCAACAUUAGGGCUAUUCCAUUAAUAGUUCUGCCAUAGACUCAUACCACACAGACAGUUAAAGACAAGAUUGUAACUGAAUUGUCCUAUUCUUGUUUUCCAUGGAUAUUCAUCCCAGUAUCCACUGUUGGCUAAUAAAUAUCUUGCAUUGUUUCUGUACAUCUAGUGCUGUUGCUGCCUUGUGGAACUUGCUGGUGUAUUCUUUAUGGCAAAGAGCAGAUCAUGGUUAAGAAUUAUCUGGUUGCAGAGCUUAAUCUUAAAAGUUAAAAUUGGGGGACCUAGCAUCUGGGAGUUGAAAACAAUACUGACUAACUGCUGACACAGAACCCCCGAAAUCUCUAUUAUUGCAGAAAACAAAUCAGAAACAAACUUAACAAAAUCCAGUUGGUUGUCAAUGAACCUUUAUUUAUUUAUAUGUGGUGCUGAGAAUUGAAGCCAGUGUCUUACACAUGGGAGGCAUUCACUCUACCACUGAGCUACAACCCCAACCCCAGUUGGGGUUAUUCUUGACCGGUUUAAGUGCCCUUCUUCCUACCCUUGUUCCUUAAGUUUUUCUUCUGUGAAAGUUUCACUUUUGCUAAUGCCAAUCCCCUUUUACCCUUCCCUCUCAAAAUUUCCAUUUCCCUAAUAAGUCUGGAGGUUGUUCUGCUUACUCGUCGCCUCCCACAGCUCCUUGGCCAUGGUCCAGGGCUGGUGGGUGGAGCGCUGUUUGCCAGGGACUGUCUGGGUCAGAAGUGGCUGAGCUGAUGCUCAGCUGGAGAGACAGACACCCAGUCUCCAGCUGCAUGGCUAAGAGAUAAAGGCCUCUUUCAGCGCCCCCUCUCUUCCUCCUCCUAGAUGGAUAAGGGAUCACAGCAGUUUCUUUCUCCAUUUCUGUUCUUUGCCCACCCAUCACAGUCCGCUGUCCCCUUCUCUGUACUGUCAGCUUUCCAGAUGGAGUACAGGGACAGAGAAUUGGGGAGACCCAUCAUUUGUGCCUGGAAACUACACAGGACCUAAAUAUAAAAAGGAAGUGUCCCAUCCAAGCCAAAAUGUCCUCAGUGUCCUCUUGUCAAAGUGUCAAUUUCCACUGAAUUUCUGUAGACAGAUUGUCAUUCCAUUGCUCUUGGAGACAAGGUCAGCAAUCCCUCAGUUAUUGCUGAGGAGGCUCUUUCUCUUCAGCAGACUGAUUUUUUUGUUUUCCACACUGUUCCCCUUGUUCCAAUUUCUAUUUUUCUUUCCCCUUUCGCCGCCUGCUCUCUGCUGUACCAACUCAGCCUCCUGCACUCCCGGGGCACUUUCCCAGCCCCUCUGCACCCUUUCCCAUUGGCCCGCACCUGCCGCACGCCCCUCCCACCGCCACCCAUCCCCCUCCCCAUCUCAGUCUUUUCCCCCUUGUUCCUUUAGGUAGUUUCUGCCCAUGAUCCUUAUCUUUUCUGUCCUUCGUGUUCUGUUUGUCUUUCUUUUCCUUUUCCAAUAAACUGAACCCAGCAAGAAGAAAGGACAUUUCCUGCCUGUGAAGUUUUGCCAUUGCACUUUAACAAAAAUAAGCACUGCCAGUAAAAUUGCUUAAUACUAAUGAAAAAUAAAUGUUUGCAGAAAGUUAGGAGGCAGGACAAAAAGUACUUCCUUGCUAGGGCUAAAGUUAAAAUGAGAAGCUCUUAUUAACUUAAAAGAAGAUAAUUUUUUAUAAUAAAUAAUGAGCCAAAGUUGGAAAACUCAGUGGUUAAUAUUCCUAAGGGUCUAUGUUCAGUUCUGUCCUAUUGAGUACUUUUACCUAAUAUUUAAAAGUCUGUCACUCUGUGAAUGAUUUUUGCAUUUUAAAAACUAUUAAUUUUCUUAAUAAAAUAAAUCCAUAGUAAAAAUUUUUAAAUAUAAAAUGAUAUAGAAUAACGAGGGGGAGGGAAGAAUAGAGGAACUUUGGAUUGGGCAGCCAGAGGAGGUUGAGGUGGGCAGGAGGUGGUGGGAAAGAUGUUUGAAUGAGAGGGACACUAUUACCCUAAGUACAGGGUAUGACUGCAGGAAUGGUGUGAAUCUACAUCUUGUACAACCAGAGAAAUGGAAAGUUCUGCUCCACUUGUGUAAAAAAUUAAAUUAAAAAUUAAAAAAAUACCCCAAAUGAUAGAAAGUUGUUCUCCCAUCUACCCAGAUUCUAAGCCACUUUCUCAGAUGCAACCAAAAUGAAUUCAUAAUCAUAACAUGGAUCUGUAUAGAUACAUCAAUAAUAACAUAUGUGUAUAUACAUAAUUCUAUCUUUCUAUAUUUAUUCAUCCCUUUAUUUGGAAUAUAUUUGUAUGUUUGUAUAAAUAUGUCAAAACAUACUCUACUGUCAUGUAUAACUAAAAGAACAAAAAUAAAUAAAUAAAUGGAAGCAUACUAUACAUAUUAUAAUGCAACUUGUUUCAUUCACUUAAUAUAAAAUGGAGUAAAUUCUAGAUCAGCAUCAAAAAUCUACAUUGUUCUUUUCCACUGCUACAUUAGUUCCAUUUUAUUUAAUUUAUCAUAUCUGAGCAAUUCAAAGACUUUUUGAACUUUAGAAGCUUUACAUUCUUAAAAAUAACUGCAGACCUCAAACAAUUCUUUAAUUAGAAAUUAAUCCCCAAAUAUGUUUAAAAUAAAAUAUAUUUUAAUUAUAUCCUUUUAAUCAAUUUAUAAGCCCAUUUCACAUUAACAUAAACAACAUAUUUUGUGAAACUUAAAAUCAAUUAUAUUUUCAAAGAUAAAAAGAUUUAAUGAGAAAAAAAAUUGGCAUUGCUUUAUAAAAUUUGCAGAUCUCUUUAUAAUGUUUGGCCUAAUUGGACACAAAUGGAUUCUCAUAUUUGCUUUUUAAUGCAAUCUGUUACAAAAUAUUGUUUUGGUUGAAAUAUACACAGAAAAUCUGGUUUCACAUAGCUAUGUUGUUGGGGAAAAAGGAGUAUUUUAAUAAUCUUUUCAGAUAAUUGUAAAUGCUUUUCUCUUUCUCUCUUUCUCUUUCAUUGUUCUGGGGAUUGAACCCAAGGCCUCAUACAUGCUGAGCACUCUACAUGUAAUCUGGCUAUGUACCCAGCCCUCUUUUCUAAAACUUAUGCACCUCAGAGCAUUAAUCUCCAGACUAUAUAAAGAACCAAAACAAAACAACAACAAAAAAAACCUUAACACCAAAAAGCAAAAAGUUAAAAAAAAAAAAUCAAUAAAUGGGAAAGGAAAUCAACAUUUAUAGCAGAUCAAUUUAUAAUAGCUAAGCUCUGGAACAAACCUAAGUGCCCUUCAACAGAUGAAAGUAUAAAUAAAAGAUGGUCUAUAUACACAGUGGAAUACUACUCAGUCAUAAAAAGGAUGAACUUAUGACAUUUGCUAGUAAAUGGAUGGAUCUGGAGUGUCAUGCUAAGUAAUAAGCCAAUCCCCCAAAGCCAUGAACUUGACAAGAGCCAGAAAGAACAUUUUAAAUGUUCUCUCUGAUAUGUGGAUUCUAACAGACAAUAAGAGAGAAGGGAAAGAAUAGAAGUUCAGUAGAUUAAACAGAGGGGAAUGAAGGGAAGGGAGAGGGGGAACAGGAAUAGGAAAGACAGUGGAGUGACUGACAUAACCUUCCCAUGUACAUAUGUGAAUACACCACAGUGAAUCGCCACAUCAUGUACAACCACAAAACUUGGAUCCUAAUUAGAAUAAGAUAUACUCCAUGUUUGUAUAAAUAUGUCAAAACAUACUCUGCUGUCAUGUAUAACUAAAAAGAGCAAAAAUAAAUAAAUAAAAUCUAAUUUUGAGACAGGGUCUCACUACAAUGCUAAGCCUUGCCUCAAACUUGUGAUCCUCCUACCUCAGUCUCUGGAGUUGCUGAGAUUAUAGGUGUGCACUACCAAAUAUGGCCAAAGUGGUAAUUUCUUAAGGUUAGUUGCAACAUAGAGUCUGAAACCACAUCAAUAGACUUUUCCUAUUUUGUUAUAUUAAAAUCUGUUGGUCUAUCUUACUGUUUGAAUGAAGCAUGUACCCAUGCAUGAUUUUAUACCAUCAUGCAUUAGUCAUUUGAAAAAGAGUCUUCACUGAGGUAUAUGCAUAUCUCAACCGAGAUAUAUUUUAUUAUAUUGUAGAACAAAAUUAUAUUCAUUAGUAUUGUCAUUAAUCUUCCCAGAAAGUUUUCAAAUACUGGGAUCUUGUCAAGAUCAUGAGGGCAGACAUAAGCUUUCCAAAACUUGAACUUUCCCUUGAAAGCUCAAAUUUUACCAUUGUCAAGAAAUGUGGUCCUUUGUUUUCCUUGAAAUAACAUAUUCAUUUCAUCUAUUUUUGGGUAUCUGCCAUAUACUCAAUUCUGAAUAACUGUAGUUUGUCUGUCAGUCAUUUUUUUCUUCAAGAAAAAUGUUGUUCCAUUAGAGUUCCACGGCAACAAAAACAACUGCCUAAAGUGCUUUUUCUUGAGAUAACCCCCGCAGCUCAGCAUAUAACGGAAAUGCUUUCUGCAUGCUUCUCAUUUUGUUGCAUAGAAUAUUAAAAGACAAGUAUUCCAGGGCCAAGAUUGAAUGAAUUGGUCAUCUGGACUGCUUCAUCAAGGACAUUCUUAAGUAACACUGGCUUUUUAAAAUAAAUGAAACAGUGUGGUGGUGAAGAAUUUAAUGCCGACUCUCUGUGUGAUGUCAUUGCCUUGAUUCUUGCAGUCUUACCCACCACACUUUUGCACUAUCUGUGCAAAUGUUGAAACAAUGAAAAAGGUGAAUAAAGUCUUGGUAUUAUUAGGAAAAUAGCUUUGAUCUCCAUGCAAUUAAGCCUAGAGGUCUAGGAACCACAUUUUAAGUACUACUACCAUGACUUAUUUAACUAAUUCCACCCUUGUUAAUUGUUUCUGGUAUUUUUCUAAUACAAACUUUUACACAAUAAAUAUCCUCAAAUCAAUGUUUCUUGAUAUUUCAUUUUCUCUAUAUGUUAGAUGAUUUCAGCUUCAAGAUUAUUAGAAGACCUAGGAAGUCCUUUAUUUUUUUUCUCUCUCUCUCUCUCUCUCUCUCUCUCUCUCUCUCUCUCUCUCUCAUCACGACUACUAACAUAUAUUUGGUAAAAGGAAAGGCCAACCACCUCUUAUUGUGUAAAUAUCACCCUUGGGUAUAUGAAGAUGUCAGUUGAUCUGCAUUCAGAGAUUCAUAGAGAAGAAGAAAAAUACCCCCCCCCCCAAAAAAAAAAAACCCAGAAGAUAGAGGACUUUGAUCAGUAUUGUGCUAUAAUCCUCUUCAUAGGGAUACUUUGGAAAUUUUAGACACUACCAAAAAAUGGGAGUUGUUGAUUUAGAAAAUAUUUUAUUUUUGAACAAUUGAAUUACUACAUAAAAUAAAUUACUGAUGAUUAUCUAUUUAGUCGCUCAAAAUUACUUUUGAGGAACCUACUGUGUUCAUUCAGCAUAUGGUCCUAAUACUAAGCAUUGCAGACAGUAAAAAUGUAUUAGGGAACAAUCUUCACUGCAAGGACUUGACCAAAAGUGGUUUUAAAGCUUUUGCAAAGUCAGCUGUGAAGACCACAUCCACUCUCUCAGUUUUAGACCUAUGUAUUUACAUAGUGCAAAUAUGUGGUCUUUUAUCUCAUUAGUAACUAAGGUGCCUAUGUAGCCCUGGGCUUACACCGGUUGCCCUCAGCAUACUUGUUAGUAGUACCCUUUCACUCUCCAAAUGGAGAAAUACAUUACAUAGUUAUGUCUUAAUAGUGGACUUAAGAGUUUCUUCCAAGUCUCAUCCUUAGAUUUUUUAUAUAACCCACCAAAAGUCUUUGGUAGAAAAGCACUGUCUAUGUGCUUUGUAUGUUUUCUAUACAGAUUUCUAUACUUUCAAAAAUGCUAUGAGACUAUUAGAUCCUCGUUUUACAGAGAACAAACUGAAACCUAGAGAGUGCAAUGAUUUUCCUAAGGCUGUAGACAAAUAAAUGGCUAAAGUAGGAUUUUUAUGCUUUUACCUAUUUUCAAAAUUCAAGUUCUUUCCUCAGGUUUUCAAAUAGUGUUUCAUGGAACCAACAUCAAAAUCACCAGGGUGCUAAUUCUGAAGGCAGAUUAUGGGGCCUCACUCCAAACAUACUGAACCAGAAUCUCUCAGGACCUAGAUGUCCACACUUACCAGCAGUUCUAUAUGUGAUUCUCAUGCAUUGGGACGCUUAAAGACCAUUGCUUUCAAUUAUACCACUUCCAGAGCGCAGCACCAAUGAUAUCUUCAAAUAAAAUAUAUUUUUCAAAAAUUCAAAUAAAGCAUAAAUAGCAGAGAUCCUUCUUGAAUUUUGUUUUGUCUUGCUUUGUAUCUGGGAUUGAAUGCAGGGGCGCUUAAUCACUGAGACACUUCUCCAACCCCCUUUUUUUAUGAGAUGGGGAGUUGCUUAGGGCCUUGCUAAGUUGUUGAGGCUACCUUUCAAUUUGUGAUCAUCCUGCCUCAGCCUCCUGAGCCACUGGGAUUACAGGCCUCCACUACCAUACCUGCCAGACCCUACUUGUAAACUCUAAUUUUCUUAGAUAAUAAUGUGUAUCUGUUGGCAACUUUGCACAGUUUGUCUUUACUGAUGAUUAAAAUGACCAUUCAUUCUUCCUGUGAACUGCCUCCCUAAGAGAUUUUCCUAGACUCCUUGAAGGAUGAGGUAGAAGAUUUUCUGUGAAAAAGCCAUUUUGUAUGUUCAAUUGCAGUUUUGGCAAUGCUAACUAUGGUAAUAAAAAUAUUCACCCAAAUUUUGCAAAAGUCAUUGGAGUAAAUUAUUUUUCUUAUUAUUGACAAACUAUAAGUAGAAUCAACUUCUUUUGGCAUUCAAACCAAUAAAAUUGUUUAGCAGCUAAUACUGAAAAAAAUUUUGAGAUUUAUUCCUCUCUACCCACUGAAUACUUCCCAUUCAUAGAUUUUAUAUUUGGAGAGCAAUAAAGAUCAACUAAUUCCAUGUGAUGUGACUUGUAGAAUACAUUCCUGAUGCACAAUAUAAUGGAUUUUGAAAUGGAUUUUGACCCACCUUCUCAAGUUUGCCCUAAACAGAAUUAGUGGUUACCUUUUGCCGUCUCUCACCUGUAAAAAUAUCUCAAAUACUCCAGAUCUCUGAUUUUCUUGAAAAAUAUCCUUUACCUUUGUGUUGUGGAUGCAUUUCUAGAUUUCAUACAGGUUUAGUCUUGGCUAUGCUAGGAUAGGACUUUUUGCCUGGGAGAAAGACCGAGGUGAGAUUAUAUCACAUUCUCAGAAAGUUAUCUAGACAGGGGAGAAGUAUGGCUAGAUAGAAACCAGUGUUGAGACAAGGUGAAAACCUCAGUCUAAUCUGGAUCAGAUUCAGUGGUCAAAGUAUGAAGUACAGCUGGCUUAGAAUCCCAGCUACCUGGGAGGCUGAGAAAGGAGGAUCACAAAUUUGAGGCCAGUCUGGGCAACUUAGUGGGGUCCUAUGUCAAAAAAAAAAAGUUAAAAGGGCUGAGAAUGUUGCUCAGGAGAGUAGAACACCCCUGGGUUCAAUACCCAGAACCAUUAAAAAAAAAAAANUCUUUGUUUGUAUGUGGUGCUGAGGAUCGAACCCGGGCCGCGCUGAGCCACAUCCCCAUCCCCAAAGAUGAUUUUUUAAUAGUAAAAGAUGGGUUUAUUCUAAUGAUUUUAAUCUUCCUAUUUAGUUACCUCAGGUGAAUGUGGAAGAGUAGAAUAAAAGAAAGGAUGAUUUGGUUAAGACAUGAUCUUAAGGAAUCAACCAAAUUCAUUCUCCUGUGGUAGCUUUCAGCUCUAUGAUGUUGCAGACAAUUUGUAACUGACUUGUCCAGAAAGCUUGAAUGUUAAGAAAUUAUGUUUGGUCAAUAUCAAAUAUCCUAUAGUUAGCAUCAGAUGCUCAACAAUGAUUUGUCCAUAGUCAUAUAGUUGAAAGAAGGUAAACAAUAAAAACAACUUCAAAAUAUGAAAGAUGUGAUUACUUCUUGAUAAAGUUGUGAAGAUAAUAAGUUUAAAAAUGCUUUGAAAAAAUCUAUUAAGCAUCUCAGAACAAUGGGAAGAAGUAAACACAAUAGUAAUUCAUUUGGCUUUUAAUUAUUCAUUGCUUUCUUUACUAUUUAGAGCAAGAUACUAAGUCUUUUUCUGAAACCUUAGAAUUCUCAUUAUGUUUUUUAAUUCCUCAGCCCCACUUCUCUCCAUAAUCUCUUCCAAAUUUAUUAAAUUACCUGUUACAAAAGCAUUACAGUCUCUUCUCAAGAAAGUCUCUUACAAAAGUCUUUAAAUUGCAUCCAUGAAUUUGAAAUGCUUACUAAUGACAAAUAGGAAUGGCACUUGGUUAUUUGGGGGGGGGGGGCACUUGGUUAUUUAUAAGAGAAUUUGAUGCCUUUUCUUGGUUAAAAAAAUAAAACCUUUUCUGAUUAUGAAAGUAGUACUACUUCAGACUUCCUCAUUAUGGGUUAUGUGGAAAAUUCAGGGAAGAUCAAGAAGGAAGUAAAAAUUUCCACAAAGAUAACCUUGGUUGAUACUUUGGUAUAUUUCCUUCCUACUUACACACAUCUAUGUUAUAGAACUUAGAUUAUCCUAUGGAGCUUUCUACCCAGUAUAACCUUGCUUCACAUUUUAGCAUAACCAUUUUAUAAUAUCAUUAAAUAGAUUUCAGAAAUCUCAAUUUUCAUCACUAAUACCUUUAAAUUACUUUACCAACAACCAAUUCUGGACAUUUUUGUUGUGUCUAAUUUUGUCUUCAUAAACAAUGUUAAAACAAAUAACAAAGUACCUAUACAUAGAUCUUCUAUAAUACUUCAUAAUUAUUCUAGAAAUGAAUGGCAAAGAUUGAAAAUUUUAAAAUUGUACCCUGCAAUGCUUACUUGCAUUUCAGAAAGGUUGUUCAGUCUUUAUUUCUAUUAGCAACAUGUAAGAAUGCCAAUCUCACUAUCCCUCCAUCAGCACUGAAUAUUUUAAUUUUAAUCUUUGCUAAUUCAAUCUGUUAAAUCAUGAUAUCUCAGUGUUUUCAUUUGUAUUGUUUUCUAGUGGUGUUGAUUUUUCAUGUCUUCAUUUUUUUAUAUAUUUCUAUGUAUGUGCAACAUAUUCUUAUAUACUUGAACCAGUUUUCUAUUGGAAUUUUAGUUUUUUUUUUAACUGACCUCUUUUUACAUAUGUGACAGGGAGACAAGAAAAACAUAUUAAACCACAUAUUUAAUUGAAUGUUGAUAAUCCAUUCGUCUUUCCCCUUUUCUCUUUUCUGUUCCUCAUUUUUCCAGUCAUUAGGAAGAAUGUCAAGUCUGUAGUUCUGAUGAAUGGAGUGAGGUGUGAUAUGGGGGAAUCCAGGCUAAAUUGACAUAGAUAAGAAAAGACAUGGGAACUUCUUUUUUUUUUUAAAGAUGUGGAAAUAUGGAGAUACCUGUUUGAAGAAAAAGAAGUAAUGAAAAUAGCAAGAAGUUUGAGAGACUUGACAGGAGGGAAGAGAAAGAGAAAAGAAAAAUGUCAGAAUGUGCUACACUUUGGAAUCUGAUUGCUGAGGCUUUAAUGAGGACGGGCAGAGGGGAUUUUUAGUAAUGUUACUGCCUUAUGCAGAGAAACCUCAUGUUUUCUGAUAUCUCUGUCCCACCACAUAAAACAAAGCUAUCUUUAAUAAAGUAUGCACAGAGGUCAUGGAGUUGGAUUUGUUCUCUUUGGCUGUUUCCUUGGGAUAAGAUGGGCCCUAAGAGAAGAUUAAAACAGGACAGCUUUAUUAUUUAGGUUGAACUCAUAAAAUAAACAUAAAUAAACUUGUUAUGUUUUUAAAUCAAUAUUUCCCCCUGUUGGCUAUUUCAUUUUUUAGGGCUCUCAUAAAACUUUACAAAGAUGAUAUACACAUAAAUGUUUUUAACUUGACAUAAAGAUUCACUGGUUGAGAUUCAAAAUAUAGGUUUUCUUUUAUAUUACUUUACAACCAGAAUUUGUAUUAACUUUGUUGAGUUAGAUAUAGCAGCUUCUAAAAUUUAGACUUAAAAACAGCCCCCUCUUACCUGGGAAAGGAAUUUUCUUGAAUUAAAGACAGUAUGUAGUAUUAGACACAGGUAUUAAUGCAGGGAGUGUUGAAAGAGUCUUGUCCCUGGCUCCACCUGCCCCAGGUUAUUUGGAUCAAGGCAAUCAAUUAUCACAAUGAGAAAGUCUUCUCAUAUCAAUUGUACUAUAUUUUUUGACAUCUGAGUAAGUAUCUACAUUUGUAUGCCUCUGUCUCUCCAUGGGUAAAUCUACAUGGGGGUGGGUAUGUGUGUAUGUGUAUGUUUAGUGAAGUGACCAAUAUGGUCACCUUUCUUUUCUUCCAGUUUUUCUGUGGUGUCAGUGUUUACAUUUAACACUAAAUAAUUAUGGGAUGAAAGACUUUUGAUUAUAGGAUGAGAUGAAGAUCAAGGUUGAUUAUUUUUCUGCAAAUUAUCCAAUUUCUCUAGGAUCAUCAAUGGAAAGUUAAUUCCUUCCCAGUUAACAUGUGACAUAGAAUCCUCUGUGAGUCUGAAUAUUUACUUGCAAAGUAAAUACUAAAAUUUUUAGAAAUUCACCAUAUUAAAAUUUUAAGAAAUUAAUUCUUAUGUUUAUUAGUUUAUUCUCAUGGGCUUUUCUAUACAGAGAGGUAUACUUAUAAAUAGAAAUAAAAUAUCAGAAAGAAGAUAUAAACGAUUCUAUCUCUUGCAUUUUGAUCAGAAGGUUUUCUUUUUUUUUCAAUGGGUACAUUGAAAAGUAUAAUUUUAAUAUUUAAUUUUUAAUAUUAAAAUUAUAAGUAAUAGUGACAUCAUUAUGUUAUAUUUGUACAUGCAUGUAAAAUAAUUAGGUCAAUCUCAUUCCCUAGGACUGCCCCUUUUCUUCUCCUCCUCCCUCUCCAUGAUCUGCUUGCUCUAUUCCACUAAUCUCCCUUCCACUAUUAUUUUGGUGAGUGCCUUAUUAUCAUAUAUGUAAGCAGGGUUCAUUGUGGUAUAGUCCCACAUGGAGUUAGCAUUCAUUGGUGGAUCUCAUUCCCCAGGACUUCCUUGUGCCCUUCCUUCCUUGCUUUCCCCACUUCUCUCUACUCUGUUACACUCCCUUGAUAAGAAGAUUUUCAAGGAAAGUUUUGUAUGAUAUUGAAAAUCAACAAUCAGCUCAUAGCUAACUGUGGAUCACCAGAGAAAUUCCUAUUUAAGUGUGAAACAAGGAUGUUGAUUAAGGCCACUUUUAUUACAGACACAUCACAAAUGUCUUUUAAUCUUCUGAUUGAUUUAGGACAACAGCUGGGCACAGAGAUGCAUGCCUGAGGCCGAGGCAGGAAGAUGGAGAGUUCAAAGCCAGUCUCAGCAAAAAUGAGGCACUAAGCUACUCAGUGAGUUAGGGUUAGGGUUAGGGUUAGGGUUAGGGUGUCUCUAAAUAAAAUACAAAAUCAGGCUGGGAACAUAGCUCAGUGGUCGAGUGCCUCUGAGUUCAAUCCCUGGUAACAAAACAAACAAACAAAACAAAAACAUCACUAACAACAUCACUAACACAGCAUACAUUUAACUUUUAUGAAAUACAUCAUACUCAAUAGUACUCUAUUGUAGAUGAGGAAAUGAAAAUUCCGUGGUGAGGAGCUUGUCCAGGGUCAAGUAGAUAUAGGAUCUGAACCCUGUUAUCUCUCAGUUACCUUCCAGUUGAUUCAGUUCACUAGACCUUAUUGCUUAUUUGACCUUCCAGCAAAAGUAAAGCAUUCCUUCCAUUUGUAAACAGCUUGAAAUUCUAUAAAAUGAUUUCAUGUAGUUGGUCUUGCAUUCUUCAGGAUUAACUUUUGAGGGAAGUAGGUCCAUAAUCAUACUUAAAUAAUCACAAAUAAAUAUUAAAAUGUGAAGUCCCUUAUCUCUUAGGUGGUUUAGCUGCAUCAAAGUGUCUGCCUGUCAUGAAUUUCCCUGAAAAGAGAUAUGAUAAAGGAAAAAAAAACACACACUCACACACACACAGAGGCUGCUUUACAUUCAGAGGUGUCCUCAAUACUUUAAAUAAAUUAAUUAAAGCUAUGUAUUUUCUCUCUCAUUUGUAUUUGAUAAUAUUGUGUUAGUAUAAUUUUGUGAGGACUAGUGUGAAUUUAGGGAGAAAGAGAGGAGGAAGACCAAUUGCCUUAUUAGGUUGGGAAAGAGGAGCGACAGGAACAUUUUCAAGUUACCUCAUGAAUAAAAUUUGUGCUAUGGAAGAUGGAAGAUGGUGGACUUUCUUUUCCAAACAAUAUUCUAAACUUCAGAGAGCAGCAUUUUGCAACAAAAUGAAACUUAGACUCUUCAUAAUUUGCUGAAGUUUUUACCAAGUGCCGGUGCCCAUCUAUGAGUGGUACUUUUUCUUCUGUUGUUAUAAAGGAUAGUAAUGACAUUUUAUAUUCUUUCAAUCUUUCUAUUAGAAAGAAAAUAGAUUCAGAGUAGGUGUACAUGUUGUUCCCGUGUACCUAACCUGUUCCUCUGAACUUGACAGUGACCUUUACCCCAGAUUUUCCUGUUCUGUGACUAAGAUCAAAUUAGGGUGGGGCUAUGUCUGCCCUUUUCUGAAUUAUAAUGGCAUGGGGGAGAUGAAAAAUACCCAAUGUGCUUUCAUAUUUUAAUGGGUACAGUUAGGAAAACUGUUCAAUGGAUUUGGGGAGGUGGGUGGGAGAAAGGCAGGCAGGAUUUCUCCAUGCUAACUCCUAUUAAGUUGGUGUGUGUGUGUGUGUGAGUGUACUAUCACUUCUGGCAAGCAAAAGGAUUCUUGAAAGACUGUUGGAUCUUUUUUGAAAGAUGAGAAACACACUCACCUGUCCAAACCCAAAGAAUGGACUAAGGAAUUGUAACAAAAGCAUUUUACUGCUAGUCUGGAAAGAUCAGCGGGCACACCCCAGAGCAGUUACCAUCAGCGUUUUAUUUCCUAGUGAGCACGGUCGGUCCCUCCCCCAGUUCCUCAAUGACUAAGUAAAUGGGGUGUACAGUCUUUCCAGAGGUCACCUAGGUUUUACUGUCUCCUAUUGGGUUUUUAAAAAGAAAUGUACCUUUGUUGUCCCCCACCUCCUGUUUUUCUCUUGUGGCCCAAAGGCCUUCUUGAGUUAGUGCAAUCUUGCAGUUCAUUUCUGUUGGCCAGCGCCCGCCCCCCCCCCCCCCCCCCCCCCCGUUUAUCAAGGGGCUGCGAAUUUGAAUUCGUCACACUCUGGUAUUAACACUUUUUAACUUUUCAUUCUGCUUUCCCUUCCAGCUGCCUUUCUUAAAAUUACUCCCAAGUAAUUUUACAUUUAAAGCAAAAUACUAUAUUCUGAAAAUAGACCACCAGACUUUCUAUUUUUCACAAUUUGGGCAACUGCAGGUGUUAAAAUAAUUUUAAUCAACUUUGUUGUCAUAGUCUUUAUACAGUGUAUCCAUCCUAUGAAAUAUUAUGUAGCCAUUAAAAAUAUGUGUUUAAAACAUGUGAUAAACUGGAGGAAUAUUUUAUAAUGGUCAAUAAAAAUUUCCAACUCAAAUUUAAAUUGUUUAAAGUCAGGUCUCUUUGUGGCAAUAACAUUGACCCAGAUCAAAUAAACAGUCCUUUAUUCUAAGGGGGGCGGGCGCUGGCCAACAGAAAUGAACUGCAAGAUUGCACUAACUCAAGAAGGCCUUUGGGCCACAAGAGAAAAACAGGAGGUGGGGGACAACAAAGGUACAUUUCUUUUUAAAAACCCAAUAGGAGACAGUAAAACCUAGGUGACCUCUGGAAAGACUGUACACCCCAUUUACUUAGUCAUUGAGGAACUGGGGGAGGGACCGACCGUGCUCACUAGGAAAUAAAACGCUGAUGGUAACUGCUCUGGGGUGUGCCCGCUGAUCUUUCCAGACUAGCAGUAAAAUGCUUUUGUUACAAUUCCUUAGUCCAUUCUUUGGGUUUGGACAGGUGAGUGUGUUUCUCAUCUUUCAAAAAAGAUCCAACAGUCUUUCAAGAAUCCUUUUGCUUGCCAGAAGUGAUAGUACACUCACACACACACACACACCAACUUAAUAGGAGUUAGCAUGGAGAAAUCCUGCCUGCCUUUCUCCCACCCACCUCCCCAAAUCCAUUGAACAGUUUUCCUAACUGUACCCAUUAAAAUAUGAAAGCACAUUGGGUAUUUUUCAUCUCCCCCAUGCCAUUAUAAUUCAGAAAAGGGCAGACAUAGCCCCACCCUAAUUUGAUCUUAGUCACAGAACAGGAAAAUCUGGGGUAAAGGUCACUGUCAAGUUCAGAGGAACAGGUUAGGUACACGGGAACAACAUGUACACCUACUCUGAAUCUAUUUUCUUUCUAAUAGAAAGAUUGAAAGAAUAUAAAAUGUCAUUACUAUCCUUUAUAACAACAGAAGAAAAAGUACCACUCAUAGAUGGGCACCGGCACUUGGUAAAAACUUCAGCAAAUUAUGAAGAGUCUAAGUUUCAUUUUGUUGCAAAAUGCUGCUCUCUGAAGUUUAGAAUAUUGUUUGGAAAAGAAAGUCCACCAUCUUCCAUCUUCCAUAGCACAAAUUUUAUUCAUGAGGUAACUUGAAAAUGUUCCUGUCGCUCCUCUUUCCCAACCUAAUAAGGCAAUUGGUCUUCCUCCUCUCUUUCUCCCUAAAUUCACACUAGUCCUCACAAAAUUAUACUAACACAAUAUUAUCAAAUACAAAUGAGAGAGAAAAUACAUAGCUUUAAUUAAUUUAUUUAAAGUAUUGAGGACACCUCUGAAUGUAAAGCAGCCUCUGUGUGUGUGUGAGUGUGUGUUUUUUUUUCCUUUAUCAUAUCUCUUUUCAGGGAAAUUCAUGACAGGCAGACACUUUGAUGCAGCUAAACCACCUAAGAGAUAAGGGACUUCACAUUUUAAUAUUUAUUUGUGAUUAUUUAAGUAUGAUUAUGGACCUACUUCCCUCAAAAGUUAAUCCUGAAGAAUGCAAGACCAACUACAUGAAAUCAUUUUAUAGAAUUUCAAGCUGUUUACAAAUGGAAGGAAUGCUUUACUUUUGCUGGAAGGUCAAAUAAGCAAUAAGGUCUAGUGAACUGAAUCAACUGGAAGGUAACUGAGAGAUAACAGGGUUCAGAUCCUAUAUCUACUUGACCCUGGACAAGCUCCUCACCACGGAAUUUUCAUUUCCUCAUCUACAAUAGAGUACUAUUGAGUAUGAUGUAUUUCAUAAAAGUUAAAUGUAUGCUGUGUUAGUGAUGUUGUUAGUGAUGUUUUUGUUUUGUUUGUUUGUUUUGUUACCAGGGAUUGAACUCAGAGGCACUCGACCACUGAGCUAUGUUCCCAGCCUGAUUUUGUAUUUUAUUUAGAGACACCCUAACCCUAACCCUAACCCUAACCCUAACUCACUGAGUAGCUUAGUGCCUCAUUUUUGCUGAGACUGGCUUUGAACUCUCCAUCUUCCUGCCUCGGCCUCAGGCAUGCAUCUCUGUGCCCAGCUGUUGUCCUAAAUCAAUCAGAAGAUUAAAAGACAUUUGUGAUGUGUCUGUAAUAAAAGUGGCCUUAAUCAACAUCCUUGUUUCACACUUAAAUAGGAAUUUCUCUGGUGAUCCACAGUUAGCUAUGAGCUGAUUGUUGAUUUUCAAUAUCAUACAAAACUUUCCUUGAAAAUCUUCUUAUCAAGGGAGUGUAACAGAGUAGAGAGAAGUGGGGAAAGCAAGGAAGGAAGGGCACAAGGAAGUCCUGGGGAAUGAGAUCCACCAAUGAAUGCUAACUCCAUGUGGGACUAUACCACAAUGAACCCUGCUUACAUAUAUGAUAAUAAGGCACUCACCAAAAUAAUAGUGGAAGGGAGAUUAGUGGAAUAGAGCAAGCAGAUCAUGGAGAGGGAGGAGGAGAAGAAAAGGGGCAGUCCUAGGGAAUGAGAUUGACCUAAUUAUUUUACAUGCAUGUACAAAUAUAACAUAAUGAUGUCACUAUUACUUAUAAUUUUAAUAUUAAAAAUUAAAUAUUAAAAUUAUACUUUUCAAUGUACCCAUUGAAAAAAAAAGAAAACCUUCUGAUCAAAAUGCAAGAGAUAGAAUCGUUUAUAUCUUCUUUCUGAUAUUUUAUUUCUAUUUAUAAGUAUACCUCUCUGUAUAGAAAAGCCCAUGAGAAUAAACUAAUAAACAUAAGAAUUAAUUUCUUAAAAUUUUAAUAUGGUGAAUUUCUAAAAAUUUUAGUAUUUACUUUGCAAGUAAAUAUUCAGACUCACAGAGGAUUCUAUGUCACAUGUUAACUGGGAAGGAAUUAACUUUCCAUUGAUGAUCCUAGAGAAAUUGGAUAAUUUGCAGAAAAAUAAUCAACCUUGAUCUUCAUCUCAUCCUAUAAUCAAAAGUCUUUCAUCCCAUAAUUAUUUAGUGUUAAAUGUAAACACUGACACCACAGAAAAACUGGAAGAAAAGAAAGGUGACCAUAUUGGUCACUUCACUAAACAUACACAUACACACAUACCCACCCCCAUGUAGAUUUACCCAUGGAGAGACAGAGGCAUACAAAUGUAGAUACUUACUCAGAUGUCAAAAAAUAUAGUACAAUUGAUAUGAGAAGACUUUCUCAUUGUGAUAAUUGAUUGCCUUGAUCCAAAUAACCUGGGGCAGGUGGAGCCAGGGACAAGACUCUUUCAACACUCCCUGCAUUAAUACCUGUGUCUAAUACUACAUACUGUCUUUAAUUCAAGAAAAUUCCUUUCCCAGGUAAGAGGGGGCUGUUUUUAAGUCUAAAUUUUAGAAGCUGCUAUAUCUAACUCAACAAAGUUAAUACAAAUUCUGGUUGUAAAGUAAUAUAAAAGAAAACCUAUAUUUUGAAUCUCAACCAGUGAAUCUUUAUGUCAAGUUAAAAACAUUUAUGUGUAUAUCAUCUUUGUAAAGUUUUAUGAGAGCCCUAAAAAAUGAAAUAGCCAACAGGGGGAAAUAUUGAUUUAAAAACAUAACAAGUUUAUUUAUGUUUAUUUUAUGAGUUCAACCUAAAUAAUAAAGCUGUCCUGUUUUAAUCUUCUCUUAGGGCCCAUCUUAUCCCAAGGAAACAGCCAAAGAGAACAAAUCCAACUCCAUGACCUCUGUGCAUACUUUAUUAAAGAUAGCUUUGUUUUAUGUGGUGGGACAGAGAUAUCAGAAAACAUGAGGUUUCUCUGCAUAAGGCAGUAACAUUACUAAAAAUCCCCUCUGCCCGUCCUCAUUAAAGCCUCAGCAAUCAGAUUCCAAAGUGUAGCACAUUCUGACAUUUUUCUUUUCUCUUUCUCUUCCCUCCUGUCAAGUCUCUCAAACUUCUUGCUAUUUUCAUUACUUCUUUUUCUUCAAACAGGUAUCUCCAUAUUUCCACAUCUUUAAAAAAAAAAAGAAGUUCCCAUGUCUUUUCUUAUCUAUGUCAAUUUAGCCUGGAUUCCCCCAUAUCACACCUCACUCCAUUCAUCAGAACUACAGACUUGACAUUCUUCCUAAUGACUGGAAAAAUGAGGAACAGAAAAGAGAAAAGGGGAAAGACGAAUGGAUUAUCAACAUUCAAUUAAAUAUGUGGUUUAAUAUGUUUUUCUUGUCUCCCUGUCACAUAUGUAAAAAGAGGUCAGUUAAAAAAAAAACUAAAAUUCCAAUAGAAAACUGGUUCAAGUAUAUAAGAAUAUGUUGCACAUACAUAGAAAUAUAUAAAAAAAUGAAGACAUGAAAAAUCAACACCACUAGAAAACAAUACAAAUGAAAACACUGAGAUAUCAUGAUUUAACAGAUUGAAUUAGCAAAGAUUAAAAUUAAAAUAUUCAGUGCUGAUGGAGGGAUAGUGAGAUUGGCAUUCUUACAUGUUGCUAAUAGAAAUAAAGACUGAACAACCUUUCUGAAAUGCAAGUAAGCAUUGCAGGGUACAAUUUUAAAAUUUUCAAUCUUUGCCAUUCAUUUCUAGAAUAAUUAUGAAGUAUUAUAGAAGAUCUAUGUAUAGGUACUUUGUUAUUUGUUUUAACAUUGUUUAUGAAGACAAAAUUAGACACAACAAAAAUGUCCAGAAUUGGUUGUUGGUAAAGUAAUUUAAAGGUAUUAGUGAUGAAAAUUGAGAUUUCUGAAAUCUAUUUAAUGAUAUUAUAAAAUGGUUAUGCUAAAAUGUGAAGCAAGGUUAUACUGGGUAGAAAGCUCCAUAGGAUAAUCUAAGUUCUAUAACAUAGAUGUGUGUAAGUAGGAAGGAAAUAUACCAAAGUAUCAACCAAGGUUAUCUUUGUGGAAAUUUUUACUUCCUUCUUGAUCUUCCCUGAAUUUUCCACAUAACCCAUAAUGAGGAAGUCUGAAGUAGUACUACUUUCAUAAUCAGAAAAGGUUUUAUUUUUUUAACCAAGAAAAGGCAUCAAAUUCUCUUAUAAAUAACCAAGUGCCCCCCCCCCCCAAAUAACCAAGUGCCAUUCCUAUUUGUCAUUAGUAAGCAUUUCAAAUUCAUGGAUGCAAUUUAAAGACUUUUGUAAGAGACUUUCUUGAGAAGAGACUGUAAUGCUUUUGUAACAGGUAAUUUAAUAAAUUUGGAAGAGAUUAUGGAGAGAAGUGGGGCUGAGGAAUUAAAAAACAUAAUGAGAAUUCUAAGGUUUCAGAAAAAGACUUAGUCUCUUGCUCUAAAUAGUAAAGAAAGCAAUGAAUAAUUAAAAGCCAAAUGAAUUACUAUUGUGUUUACUUCUUCCCAUUGUUCUGAGAUGCUUAAUAGAUUUUUUCAAAGCAUUUUUAAACUUAUUAUCUUCACAACUUUAUCAAGAAGUAAUCACAUCUUUCAUAUUUUGAAGUUGUUUUUAUUGUUUACCUUCUUUCAACUAUAUGACUAUGGACAAAUCAUUGUUGAGCAUCUGAUGCUAACUAUAGGAUAUUUGAUAUUGACCAAACAUAAUUUCUUAACAUUCAAGCUUUCUGGACAAGUCAGUUACAAAUUGUCUGCAACAUCAUAGAGCUGAAAGCUAACACAGGAGAAUGAAUUUGGUUGAUUCCUUAAGAUCAUGUCUUAACCAAAUCAUCCUUUCUUUUAUUCUACUCUUCCACAUUCACCUGAGGUAACUAAAUAGGAAGAUUAAAAUCAUUAGAAUAAACCCAUCUUUUACUAUUAAAAAAUCAUCUUUGGGGAUGGGGAUGUGGCUCAGCGCGGCCCGGGUUCGAUCCUCAGCACCACAUACAAACAAAGAUGUUGUGUCCGCCGAAAACUAACAAAAUAAAUAUUUAAAAAAUUUUCUCUCUCUCUCUCUCUCUCCCCCUCUCUCUCUCUCUUUAAAAUAGAUAAAUAAAUAAAUAAAUAAAAAUAAAAAAUCAUCUCAGAAUCUAACUGUUCUUAGAGAGUCCUGAUGCUAGUAUCUUUAUGUAUUAUAUUUAUGAAGUUCUUCUGGUCGUUAAAAACAUCUCAAAUGGGUGGGACUUAAAAAAAAAAACUUCUCAGGGGAUUCCUGGUUUUCCUGGGUUGUUCCAAUUUUGGGGUAGUUCCAGAAGUGAACACUUCCCCAGUAGCUAAUGAUGUCUCUGGGGAACCCCCACAGCUAGAUUUAUGAUCUUCUCGUCGAAAACAGCUUCUAGCAUUAGAGAGCCCAAGUGUACUCUUAGGCUAGACUCCAUUCUCAGGCGGUUAGGGCCUCUUUGGUCACUCAGAGGUAUUUCAGGCCAACCACCACAAAGGUAAUUCAAGACAUCUGUGUGACCACAUUUCUUCUAGUUUGCUUUAAAGCAAAAACACGCAUUUCAAAGGAUAUAAAAUAUAUAUGUACAGUUAAGAAGCAGCUAUAAAGGAACACCCAUAUGGCUAUCAACCAAAUUAAGAAUACUGUCAACACCCCAGGAAACACCCUGUAAAGCCCUUCCUUUUCACAACCCACUCCCUGAGUUCAAUUGACGCACUCCCUCUUCCCCCAGCAAGGAUUCUUGGCCAGAAUUUUAUCAGCCUGGAGAAGUGUUAGAAAGGCUUUCCAAAAAUAAUCCUUACUGUACAGCACAUGACACUGUGUUGGCAUUAAUAAAAAAGCUGCUACUAUUUUUUAAAUUUUUUUUUCUAUGGAUCAUAUAAAAUAAUUAUUUUCCAGAACCCAAAGGCAUCUAUGUUCUAGAGGAUACCUUGAUUCAGCAGUUCAAUAAUUCAACUUGCUUUUAAUGAUUAUUUCUAAAAGAAUAUUUAAAGCAAUUUACAUUUCCUCUUUUGAAUUCUAUGUUUAGAUCUCUCAGACACUGGGUUUUUAGUAUUUUCUCCAGCCUCUUGUUUAAGGAGGCAAAGUCCUUGGUGUAAUAAAAUAUAUUCUUUUGUGUUUUUUCAAUGAUUUUCAAAUAAUUUGAGCGUUUCCAAAUAUUCACAAAAAUAGAGGAAAUAUUAUAAAGAACCCACAUGUACUUAAUACCUAGCAUAACAAUUAUCAACAUUUGGCAAUUCUUUUUUUUUUCCAGUAUUGGGGAUCAAUUCCAGGGCCUCAUACAUGCAAGGCAAGUUCUGUACUACUGAACCACAUUCCCUAGCGCAUUCUAAAAUUUUUGUUCACUAAUUCUUUUUCCUCUCCUCAUGGUUCUUUUGCUGAAGCAAUUUAAAGUAAACCUCACACAUAAUAUAAUGUCACAUACAAAUACUUCAGAAUAUACCUCUAGCUUAUAAGAGCUUUUAAAUAAUAAUCAACAUACCUACCCAAUUAUUAACAAUAAUUCCUUUAUAUCUAAUAUCCACUCAGACUCAAUAUUCCCUGACUUUAAAAAAUGUCAAUUCAGAAUUAAAUUUUUGUAUCCAGACUCAAAUAGGACCUACAUGUUACAUUCAGUUGAUAUUUCAUUUAAGUUCUUCCAUUCUUUCUUAUGUUAGGCUAUCUUUUUUUUUUUUUUUUUUUUUUUUUUUUAAGAAACUGGUUCUUUUAACCUAAAGAACAUCCUAGUUCCUGGAUUUGUAUGAUGGUAUCCUCCUGAAGUCAUUUACUACUUUUCUUUCAAGUGAUAGAUCUACAGAUGUGAUAAGAUUUGGAAAAAUUCUUUUAGGCAAAGCUUUACACAUGGUGCCAUCAACUUCCUGUUGUAUCCAGUCCUCAGACAUAACGUGUGAGGGUCCCUCUUUUAGUGAUGUUCGGAUUAAUUAGUGGUUUCAGGUAUUGUCAGCCUGACUUAUUCUUUACAAAAUUUUCAACAAACUAAUGAUUUUCACAGUUACUGAUAACUGCUUUUUACAUCCAGUUCUACAGUUGGGCUCUACUACUUGAAGCUAAGAAAGUCUUACUCUGUGACAAUAUCAGAUCAUUAAAUGAUCAUCUGUAUUUUUCCAGGAUUAAAAAAUUGGAUCAAUCUGGAAUUCACUUUAGUGUACAAGGGAGUUGAGGAUUUAAAUUGAUGUGUGCUGGAGAGAAUGUGUUCCAAAAGACAAGUAACCAAAAUGGCCUAAUACCACACACCUGGUGAUGGAAUUCUGACUAGCUACUGUGCCUUUCUAAGAGGAAUCCCAAAUUGUUUCUUUAACAUUCAGUAAUUUUCCCAAAGUUACUAGUGUCCUAGCCCUGGUACACUAAUCAGAAAAAGAUUUCCUUACUUACAGAGACCCUAGAGCAAGAUUAGUCUGAGAAAAUGUCCUUAGGUAUCUGUUGCAUCUUCUUACAGCAGGUGGGGUUUCCACAGAAGAGAAAACUCACUUUUGUGAUUACUCAGGGUUUUGUACAAUUGCUAAGUUUUAAAAUCUUGAAAAUGUCAGCGUUUUAUUUCUGCAAACCAUCAUUUUGUCACCAAGGGAAAUGACCUUGAAAAAAAUCUAUACACAUGACAUAAUGACUCAAAAUUAAGCAGAAGUCAUUAUAUUUCCUUUCUUUCCUUCUUUAAGAACAUAUUCACCACUUUCCAAAUGUUGGCACCUUACACCUGCUCCUUAAAUUACCAGAAAUGAAAUUUAUUGAAAGGAUAAUUAUUUAGCUUAUUUCUUUUCUACCUUAGAAAAAAGAUGUAUCAGAUACUUGGUUUAAAUUUGAAAAAAAAAAGCUGUAAGGCUUAUUAUGAAUGGUUUCUUUGAUUCCAAAAAUUCUCCAUUCAAAUUAAUGCUAGGCUAGUCUUGCAAAAAAAAUUGAUUGCAUUAUCUCUUUGCUCAAGAACAUCUUUGGUUGACCACUGCUUAUAAAACCAAGUUCAAAUUUGUGUUCUUUAGCUAUAGAUCCCUCACUUCCUGGCUACCAUUUCUUCUCCCACUCAUUCUUCAGAGUUAACUCCUGUCUAUUCUCCAAUUUCAUGUGUUUUACACACUCUCAGCCCCUUUCUCACUCCUCUCUCCCAAUGUAGAUUUUAGUCUCUAUUUUUCAACCUCACACCAAAUUUAAUCUCCUCUACAAGCAUUUUCCUAUUGGUGGUCCUUGCAAAUAUUUCCAAUUUUAAAUUAUGCCCCUUUAGAAACAGAAUGAUACAGUUUAACAUACAUUUUUAUUCCUUUUUGUUCACAGUGUAGCUUUUAUGGUCGUCUUACUAGUUUGUAAGAACAGACAUGGUAUGUUACGUAGGACUUUAGUUUUAGACCUAAUUUAAUUGAAAUUCCUGUGAAAUUUUUAAAUAACAACUUUACUGGUGUGCUUAUCAAAUUCACAUGACAUGAUCCUGAGAGUGUGAUAAGGUCUCAUGUUUUCACUUUUCAUGUCUUCCUAUCUUCUGUGUUAGUGAGGCAUCACUGUGAUCAAAAUACCCAACAAAAAUAAUUUAGAGAAGAGAAGUUUUAGUUGGACUCAUGGUUUCAGAAGAUCAGUCCUGAAUCCACUGCUCUGGGCUCAAGUAAGGCAUAACAUCAUGGUGGGUUGGUAGAGGAGCACUGUUCUAUUCAGGGUGGACAGGAAGCAGAAAAAGGGGAAGUGGGCACAGGGAAGAUGAAUUCUCCCAAGGCAUGAUCCCAGUGACCUACCAGCCACACCCCACCUGCCUAUAGUUACCACCCAGUCAGUCCAUUCAAACAAGGAUGAACUCAGUAGGCUACAGCUCUUAUAAUUCAAUCACUUCACGUCUGAACCUAGCUGCAUUCACACAGGAGCUUUUGGGAGACAUCUCAUAUCCAAACCAUAACACUAUAUUUAGAACCUCUGAAGUAAAUUUGAAGGUCUUCCAUCAAUAAAUGAAGCCUAUUUUUCCAGGGUUUGAACUUUGCUAGCUUUAGAGUUUAUUGGUUAAUAGAAUAUGGAACAAAUGCAGGUAUGCCUGUCCUGAAUUUAGGAUUCAUGGGGCCUUUCUUGAUUUCAUUUGCUGUUAUGAGACCCAUCCUCUGCCAUGUGCAGAAGUCCAGGCUAGCCUGCUGGAGAAUGACAGACCAUUUGGAGACUGGCCAUUCUCCUCUGAAGUGCUUCUAGAGUAGCCAUUCCAAUCAGCUCUCCUUGACAUGCCAGCUAAUCCGAGAUGCUAGAGCCAAUGUCCAGUCCAAAAAAAUCACUCAGCUUAGCUCAACGUAACUGCUGAUGUGUAGAAUUAGAAGCAAAACUGUUAUAUUAGUCCAUUAAAUUUGGGGUGGCUUAAUAUAUGACACAUGUUAAGGGAUAAACCAAAAAUAUUUUUUAAAAUGUUAGAGGGAAGAAUCUUAAUACUAAGAGAGUUCAGCAUUCUAGAAUAACAAACUAUGCUGUUCAGAUAAAAUGUAACUGUGGUAAGUGCAAACUUCUAAAUUCAAGUUCAAAAAUCCAGAUGUAGAAUAUAAAAUAGCAGAGAUAUAACUUAUCAACAUGUAUGCAAAGCACUUACUGGCUUUGGUCGACCAUAAAUAUAUGACUCAACCCUGUGUUCCACACUUCCAAUGAAGCUAAUCCUAUAUAAAAUUAAUACUAGUAUGUUUUAGUACAUAAGAACCUAAAAUAGAGCUUGUCCAUAGGAAAGUGAUCAUGAUGCUAAAAGGGCCUAGAAACUAUCUCAAACAAGGAAAAAUGAAAGGCAAUGCAAUUGUGAAUACAGUAGAAAGACUGAAUGACCACAGUGGAUAAGAGAGCUAUGUGACAAAGAAUUGGGCAUGUUUCAUGCCAUCCCACUGAAAGUUAGGACCCAAAGCUUCAGAUGAACAUUGAGAAGAAAAUGAAUUAGAGAGGCUGCAUAUAUAUGCUGUUUAAGAAUAUACCCAUUUUUUUUUGCCAGGCAUGGUGGUGCACGCCUGUAAUCCCAGCAGUUUGGGAGGCUGAGGCAGGAGGAUCAUGAGUUCAAAGCCAGUCUUGGCAACUUAGCAAGGCCCUAAGCAACUCAGUGAGACCCUGUCUCUAAAUAAAAUAUUAGAGAAGGGCUGGGGAUGUUGCUUGGUGGUUAAGCGCUCCUGGAUUCAGUCCCUAGUACCAAAAAAAAAAAAAAGAAUCAUUUUGGAAGGAAAUAAUAACAGUACCAUUCUACAAGGUGUGAUGAAGAUUAGCUUGGAAUUUUGAAGUUGUUUAGAUCAGUGUCUAGCACAUAGUAAGCACUCAAUGGAUUGUAUUUAUUAUCACUAAUAAUGAGAGCAAUAUAAACAUGAAAUGAACUGCCUCAGGAGGCAGAAAGCUCUCUCACACUGACAAUAUUCACAGGAGUCUUGCCAGAUGUUUAUUAGAACAGAUAAACAUCAGGACAAAAGUUAGAGUAGGUGACAUUGAAAUUACCUUCUAAUACAAAAUAAAUCUAUGUCCCUUAAGACUUGAAUAACUUCAUUGUACCUUUCAAAAUAGCACUAUUGACCAAAUUAUAUUUAUCUAGUAUAUUUGAUUAAACUUUUAUUAUAUAAUUAUAAAUGUAUAGUUUCUCUUUCAUAACAGUUGAUUCAUGCUGAAAUAAAGGUAUGUGAGGAUUCUGAUUUUUUUUUUAUCUCCUAUCCUCUAAAGUAAGUAUACCAUUAAAGUUUGUUUUUCUUAACAUCAGUGUGGAGCAUGCCUGUAACCCCAGCAGCUUGGGAGGUUGAGGCAGGAGGAUCAAGAGUUCAAAGCCAGCCUCAGUUAUUUAGCAACUCAGUGAGACCCUGUCUCUAAGUAAAAUACAAAAAAUCAGUGUUGACUGAAACUAAAAAGUACAGGCUUUAGUGCUUCCUUAUACAUCAUUUAAAUUUGUGUGUGCUAAGCUCUCAGAUUUUUACAUGUAGCUUUCCCCCUUCAAGGUAUAAUAAGGCUGCCACUUGUGAUUGAUCCCAUAUCAAAAGUUCAAACUGGAGUCAAAAACCACUUUUCCUUCUGUACAUACGGUACCUGGAAACACUGACAACAAUUCUUCCUGCCUCCAAAGGCACAGCAGACAAUCCCAAUCCCCACUGCAAAUCUGUUUAAUAAAAUAGCUCUAGUAGAAUCCCCCAAACUUAGUAAUGUGCUUAUUGUCUUCAAUUAUCUCAUUGUUAUCCGUUAAUAGAAUUCACAUUAGCCAAGGUGUCUUUAUCAUCUCUAAACACCCCCUCCCUUUUUUUUGCAAUGAAUUCCAACAUAAUAAUAGCUAUUAAUAUCUGUGAGAAAAAGAAGUGUUUUGCUUUCCCCAUUAAUGAAAGUUGAUAGUUUGGUACUCUGGCUAGGAGAAUCACAUAAGGUACAAAUGAGAAGAGUUCUGAAUUCUAGGUUUGAAUGAGCUCUGGGUUCUGGAUAUAGAGUGAAAUAAAUAGAAAAAUCAUUCAUAGACACAAACAGGCUUUUUGGACAACUAGGUGUCUGAUAGGAGCCGCAUAUUGUGCUGCAUCAAUGCAAAGAUAAGUAACAUGUUCCAGGAGAGUGUGGUGAUGCAUGCCUGUACUUCCAGCUACUCAGGAGGCGGAGGCAGGAGGAUCACAGUUGGAGGCCAGUCUCCACAACUCAACAUGACCCUACCUUAAAAUAAAAUUUAAAAAGGGAUGUAACUCAGUGGUAAAGCGCCCCUGGGUUUAAUCCUCAGUACUGAAAAAAAAAAUUAAAAAAGGAUGAAAGAACAAACAUGUUCCAUUUCUCAGAAUUGAUAACCAAAGCAAAGCAAAACUGUACUAGAAAAUUCAAAGUACAGUUUUAACUCAGAAUAGAUGUUGCAGUAGGGAAGGAAAGAAAAGUAGAGGUGAAUUAUAAGAGAUUUUGAAAAAGAGGAAGGAGUUAAGCAGGAACAAGGGACAGGAGUAGCACUAACAAGGGCAAAGAGCUAUAAGAAGACAAUACCUACAGACCUGGAGGGAACAGGCAGUGGAGCUGAGGGCAGAGGUGGCUACGUCAUGCCCACCCCACUUUACCCUUCAGAGAGAGUCAGACAGGGCCGCAGCCCCUGGGGGGCCUUUCACCUCUUGGUCAAGUAAGUGGGUCAUAUUUACAAGUUGUAUCCAGAAUCCAGACAGGAGAUGAGGAAGGCCUAACUGGGAGCCAUCACUAUGGGAAAGGAUAAGGCAAGAUGUUAGGAUUUAGAACCAUCUGAACUUAAAUAGCAGACCAAAUGGAUGAGAGGGAGGAAUUAUGGACAAUGUCCAAGAAUCUGGCUUGAAUUUGGGGCUAGGUAGAAGUAGAACUGUUUACUGAGAGAGGAACAGAACAUCUGUGGAUGGGAAAGAGAAGCAGGCUAGCUCAAUUGUGGAUAGUUGAGUAAAUGAACCAAUAGAAUAAAGAAAACAAAUGAGCCAGAAUAAAGAACCAAUAGAAUAAAAAAAAAAUAGUUAUUUUUUUUUCUAUCAGGGAUUGAAGCUGGGGUGCUCUACCUCUGAGAUACAUUCCCUGUUCCUUUUUAUUUUAUUUUCGGGACAGGGUAUUGCUAACUUGCCAAGGCUGGCCUGGAACUUGUGAUCUUCCUGCCUCAGCCUCCUGUGUUACUGGGAUUGCACGUGUGCAGCACAUACCCAGCUCAAAUAGUUGAUUCUUUUCCUUUUCCUUUUUUUUUUUUUUUAAGUGAAUCAGGAAUGAAACACUGGAAAACACAGAACUGGUUCUGUAAGAGAGACUGAGAAGGUCUCGUCUCCUGUAGAUGAGAAUUGUAACCCCAUCUAUGCUCCUGAAACCCAAGAGAGGAAUGACCUUCAAGAAGAGGGUAACUGAGUCAAAUGCUGUAGAGAUCAAGUUGCAGAGGAAUUGGAAGAUGCUCUUUGGAUUUGGCAGUUAGAGUUUUCCCACUGAUCUUGGCAAGACCACUUUCACUGACGUAGCAAAGGAAAGAAACAACUUCCAUGCCUCGAAGCAUGAGAAUGACAUUCUCUCUUUCUCUCUUCUAUUUUGUUUGAAAUCUCAACAUAAUGACUUUUAUUGCUGAUUCCCUUUGCAAGUCCUUAGUGUAAAAAUGCAGCUUAUGAGUUUUGCAAAUGAGUAAAGCCUUUUCAGAGUUGCCAUUCUGUAAGCAACCAACUUUUAAGGGAAAGUUUUUCUUGGAGAAUUCCUUAGAGAGGCUAAGGAAGUCAUUUAACAGAAAAAGCAACCUGAAUCCAGGUAGUGAGAAAACAUGGAUCUCUGAUUCAGCAAUGUGAGAAUUUAUUUUUUUCUUUUUCUACCACUCCCUCUCCUGAACAAGCAGCUACUAUGUGGAAAGAAUUACGCUUGGUGCUUUGGGGACAUAAAUAAUGAAUAAGGCACAAUCCUGCCUCACCCCAGCCUAUAGUCAAGGAGAUUACAAGCCAGUGAAAAAGACAGACAGGUAAUCAACCAACCUUAAAAUAAGGUGGGCUGCAAGAAAUGCUCAUAAUGGUACAAGUAAAGUUCUAUGGGGGCCAACUAUAAUUCCCCAUUUCUCAUGAAAUGCAGGAAAUGACCUUUAAAAACGCAGACACAAUUGGGGAGUUCAUCGCACCACUAAUUACCUCCCUACUCUCCAGACCAUAAACUUUUAUUCGAUCUGUUCUCUGUUCACCUCAUUCAUACUCAUUUAUUUUAACAGGCAUCCAAAUGGCCUAUAUGUAAAACCUUAACAGACAUUAGUGGCAAGGAGAGAUUUCGCCUCCACCCUUGGCUUUAUUGUGAUUCUUUCAUUAAACUGAACUUUAAUGAUGUUUAAUACUACCAUUUUGACUCUUUUCAUUGUUAGUACUAAUGUCCUUAAAGCUAAAUGCAUAGCCUCAUGGUUGAGGAGCACACUAAGCCUCCUUCUCCCAGAGCAGAUAAACUGGGACACCUAAAUAUACAGAGCAGCUUCUGAGGAAUACUUCUGAAUAUUUGGAUCUGAAUAACCUCACGGUGACACCUCCGCAGCUCCUAUCCCUUUUAAAGUUCUUUGUAAAGCACCUCCCUUUGAAGGGUCAGCCCACCACAGCAUGCUCACACUAUUCUCACAUGUGCAGUUUUGCUAUUUUUAGCCAGGGUCUUUUGGAAAAUGAAAAUCUCAGGUAGGUUAACUGUAGCCAGAGUGACCCAGAACAGAAGCCAGGUCAUGCUUUUUCUUGGCUUCCUUCUGUUAUCCUCUCAGGAAACUUUGAUUAUAUUUCAACUAGGAAUAGGAAAGAGAUUGUCUAAAUAAAAAAACAUCUCUCCAGCAGGUGGUUAAGUCUUAGGUUCUGGAGUCAGCGUGGCUGGGUCUGGAUGCCAACUCUACCAUUUAUUAGCUCCGUGACCUUGAACCAGUUGUUUAUCCUCUAGGCUUCAGCUGGAAAAUGAUUAAAUAAGAUACCGCCUAUAAAAACUGAGGUUAGUGUUAGACACAGAGUCUUCAAACAAUAGUAGCUAUUAAAAUAAUUAUUAUUGCUAUUAUCAUUGAUACCAAAUUGCCCUGGAUUACUGCUUAUAACACCCUGCCCCACACAUGGUAGGCACUCAAUGUCUGUUUACUCUUAGCGGAUGCUUGGCUAGUUUUUAGCUUAGAAUGCAGUGUUUCCAAGAAGUGCUCCUUUUGGCUUUCUCAAAAGUACCCAGAGCAUUGGGAAGGUAGCAAAACUAUUAAUUUUGCAGUACAGUUUCUCAGGGCUCAAUAUUAUUAUCAUUUUUUCAUCCAUGUGGAAAGAGAGGGCCGUGGGUAUAGGUCAGUUGUAGAGUACUUGCCUAACAUGCACAAUGCCCUAGGUUAGAUCCCCCAGAGAAUAAAAGAAAAAAAAAGAAAUUAUGCAAAAAGAGAGUGUAUUAUGAGUACAUGUAUCUUACAGCAGCCUUAGGUGAUGUUUUUUUCUCCACCCCACGUUAAUACAAAUCUGUUUCAUUUUCUCAACAAUAUACCAGUCAGCCUACUUAGCAUUUUUCUACCAAAAGUUCCACUUGAUAUUUUUCAGCUGGGUUCUGGGAGAGAAGUUGGGGCAGUGUUAAUGGAAAGUAUCAGCACAUGAGACAAGGAAAGAAUAAACAAUAUCUCUGUAACACAAAUAUGACUUUGUGCCCUUUGAUAAUGGCACUUUCCUUAAUAGUAAGAGCCUGGGGAAUGUGUGUGUGUGUCUGUCUAUCUGUGUGAGCAUUCAGUCCAUGCAUGUUAUAUUGUACAUUUCAACUUUCACAGACAAGUUAUAAAACAAGAUCAGAAGAACAAGAAAGAUGUUUGUUUCUUAUGUUUAUAGUUUCCCAUUUUUAUAGUGUGUCAGUAUCUAUAGAUGUCUAAAAUUAAGGGAUUUUAUAAACUUAAUAAAUGAAUACAUCCUAUUGAUAUUAAUUACUCAUAUUUCACGUAUUUUUCUUUGGCUUUUGGGAGCUAUUGCUAUAUACUUUUAUGUUUAUAAGAGAACAUAAAUUAUACUGCCAGUGGUUGAAGCAUAUUUGUUAAAUUUUAUAACAAUUCUUGUGAGCUCAUCAAGCCUGUUUAUAGAACCAUCUUGCCUGUUGUGAAUGUGAGACGGACAGGCUUCUUGCCUUUGUGUGUUAGGCUGAGCUUUUUACCCAACUGAACUCCCAUAGGUGGAGUUAAUGUUGUAAACUUCAGCCUAGAUUGUUUAUAGGAUGGUAGUGGGAAUCUAGGCAUCUAAAUAUAAGGGAUAUAUAUUCUCACUUUUGGUAAUUUAGGACAGUGUUAAUGAAAUUGACUUUAAAAUCUGAAUAGAACUUCAACAACAAUUAUGAAAAAGAAUAAGAUGAAACUGAAUAACAAACUAAACUUCUUUUACUUAACCAUCAGUAGUCAGGCACUAUAAGCCUACUGUGUGCCCAUUAUGGAGUUGAGCCUUUUUCUGGGGGGAGGGUGCCAGGGAUUGAACUCAGAGACACUCAACCACUGAGCCACAUCCCUAGCCCUAUUUUGUAUUUUCUUUAGAGACAGGGUCUCACUGAGUUGCAUAGUGCCUUGCAUUGCUGAGGCUGGCUUUGAACUCACAAUACACCUGUCUCAGGCUCCUAAAUCACUGGGAUUACAGGCAUAAGCCUCUGUGCCCAGCAGAGUUAAGCCUUUUGGGCAAAGGCAGGAUGGAAACAAACUGACAUGGGUUCCAAUGUGUAGAAGUGGUGGCAGUUGACAUUUUAGAGAGUUAAUUAACUAGGCCAAAACAAGAAGUAUUAUUUAAUGUUGAAUAAAAGGAGAAUGGAUUUUAAAAGCACCAACAAAACAAUUCACUCUUCUCCUAGAACCCCAUGUGGUUGGGGUUGCCCCAGGCAAUAAGAAUCAGCUUCAGGUGAUGAAAGAACAGAACAUCAUGCCAGAUGCAGACACGGGGAUACCUAUGAAUAUUUCUAAAUCAAUGACAACUCCUAUAUACAAUAAGUAUCAAUAGAAACAGUAUUUGGCAGAUAAUAGGCUCCCCUAUAGUUCUUGAGUUUAAGUGUUUUCAAUAGAAAUUUGUUUGCCUCAGUGCUGAGAAUUUCUUCAAACCUAAAUCCCCAGGUUUAUCACCUUUGAACUUCAAAGACAGGGUUCUUGGCUCAGCAGAGUCCUGCUCCUGGUUUUCAGAGCCAAAGGUAGCUUCUCUGUCUCUCCAUCUUGAUCCAGACUGAAUUUGGGAGAUGGGUGUUAGCAAGUCAACGCCUUCAUCCUUCCACCAAUAUUUAUUAUAACAGCUCUGCUUUGUGCUUUCUCUGAGUUCUAAGUAUCUUCUCACAGCAGGCAACUGCUCUCUCCCCUGCUCUGUGUCACUGAGCACUAGGAUAUCAUUGCAGCUACAGUAAUACUGGCUAAAGGAGAGGGUAUAAAUCAGAUGGGAGUUGACUCUGUGUUAAGCAAUAUCAGACAAGCACAACAAGCUAUGGAUUCUAUGGAGUGAGAGACCCUGAUUUGGAUAUAGUUUUUCUGUUAUCUCUCUUGCUUUAAGACUGCUAUUCUGGAUUCUGCUACCACAUCUGUAUUCCAUCUAGCAAGUACAUGACCUGUCAACUGCACAUGGUAUUGCCUCUCUCCUUCCACUAGCCAUAAUCUAGUCAUUCAGCCAUGGCCAAAUGCAAGGGAGGACAAAUGUGUACCUUUAACUAGGCAGACAUAUGUCCAACUAAAACCUCCAUUAUUUUAGAAGAAAUAGAAAACACACCUUUUAACAUUCAGGGUUCCUUCAUCUUGUAACAAAAAUCCCCAGAAGAAAAAUACUUUGUUUAAUGCAUUUUGCCAUAGUGACCAGGAGCUAAAUGUAUAGAGAUCCAGGGUAUUCACAUAGAAAAAAGAAAAACACUUUAAGAUAAUAUUUAUCUAUAGCUACAGUAAUUGUAAUGGCUUGUCUUGCUAAAAAUUAUUAUUCCAUGUAUUCCAUUCAUGACUUUGGACAUUUUGUUUUUUUUGGAAGCAGUGAAAGCCACACAUUAGUUUUGGGGUUGACCUUCUCCAUCUUCUUGAAUCACUGAGAACCCUAAGUGAUAAAUAUUAAGUCCUGAGGCACUUCAUAUAGAACUAGUGCUGUCCAUCCAGACCCAAUCAGAAUAUAACAAUAUGGUGUUCAACUAUUCUGGACAGGCUUUGGCUUAGAAGACUGCUUUUAUAGUGACUUGCAUUUGCUAAGCUAAAUGUUCUUUAGUAAGAAAAACUGUUCAACGGUUAAAUUAAAAAAGCUAAAGUCUAAUCUAUAAAAAGGACACGUCUAAUUUUUCUUCCCACAGAUGCCUCCAAACUUUGAAAUAAAGCAGCUCUACAUUUUGUUGAUUUUGAGUUCACCAGUUCCUUUCUUUUUAUCUGUUGUUUAUCCAGUUACUUCCACCUGGCUCUUUCAGUUUCCCCUUCACUUACCCAGACAUAUAAAAGGCCUAGGGAGUCUUAUUUACUUUCUUAGCCACCCUUCCAUUCAAUAUCCCUGCUGUCCUUCAAAGCAGUUUCUCUCUCCACGUCCUUCUGGUCAAAUCAAAUAAUGUGUUCAAGUUACAUUUCUUAGGAUCAAGAACAUGUUUACCUGUCACCUAAAUUUAUUUGAAAAAGGCAGGUUGGCAUAGUAAUGGUAACCCCUGAUUCAAAACAGCUCUGUCUGCUUGUGUAUUGGGAAGACACUACAGUUUUCUGAGAUUGUGGCACUUUGGGUUAUUUGACCUGCAGGUCUACACGAUGCCUUGCCAGUAGCACCAGUGAGAAAUUUGUGGGAGAGCCUGGACAUUGAGUUUCAGGUCAUCCUCUAAUGUUAUCUAUCUCCCUGAAUUCCUGCUUCUGUCUGCACCAUCUUCUAAUUCCCUUCCAAUAGUCCACUUUGGAUCUCUCCUUAAUUUAUUGAAAUCCUAAAAUCCUUUUUGUAUUUGUCUGUGCAACCUCUUGGGUGUAACAUGUUUACUGUCAAAUAUGUUAAAGUAUUCUGUCUUAAUUCAUCCUCCAGAGAGUAUCUUCUGUAAAUUACAAAAAAAAAAAAAAAAAAGUCUUCUAGUUGUAACACUAUGGGAUUUGGUGGGAUAAAUUCAGCUCAAGCUUUCACAACACAAUAUUUAGCAGCUGCAAAGGAAAGGAAGACAAAGCUGCCAGGUUAUCCCCAGAAAAUCCCAAGACACAUAUUUUUAACAUUUGCAAUCUUAUUUACAUAAAUUUGUAUGUUCCAUUGAAAAGACACUGACUCCAAUUAUGUAAAAUAAAAUACUCAAUUCCCCUUUAUCUGAUGGUGAAUAAUCACACAUUCUAGGCCUUCAUGCCUGCUACCCAGGGUGAUUUCUUUGGCUUCUCUUUUUCUGCUCCAAGAGUUUCCCUCUUUCAUUCCUACCCUCUAAUAUAUUAUCAUUUUGUUCUUUUCGUAGUAGAGUUGGCCCCAAAAUAUUAGUUUUUCUAUUAUGAGCUCACCUUGGAAUCCUCUUUUUUAACAAAUCCCUCCUUUUCUCCAUAACAAGGAAACACUGCUCCACCCGCCCCUUCCCUCAAUUCAGCUUGGAGUACCAGUGUUUGGGUGGUAGAAAUCCCAUCUGGGUCCAGUUUUCAGCCUUACACAUGAGGGAAGGAUCCUGAGAAGAUUAAUAUAGAUGUCAAUAAUCUGACUCAAAUGCUGCCUUCCAUUGGCGCUUAUAAUUGAAGGUUGACUCACUUAUAUUUUCAAUGUCAUUUCUCCUCUCCAGGUGGAUGGAUGGAUAUCAGAGUUAUUGCAAAAUAAAUUCAUUAGAAUAAUUCACAGAAAGUGUAGGAAGCCCAGAAGCCAGAGCUUUGAGAAAAGAGAAAGCAAGAGUCUCCAUUGGGAGCAAUCUCACUCAACCCAAGACAGGCCUUGUGACAUGACACAGAAGGCUUACCUGCAAACCACUACUACAGGGGCACAGGAGGUCCAGAGAAUCAUACACAAAAAUAAUGUCACUGAACCAAGAGUGGUCAUAUAGCUCUUGAUUCACUUCUUUCCUCUGAAAAGCAUUCUAAAAAGUCACUCCCUAACAAUUUUAUGUGGUGGUUCAUGUUCUCUACCAGGUGUAGGAAACUGCUUUGUAAACUCAAGACCAUCUAUUGGAUUGAAAUGCAAUUUAGUCAAGAGUGACCUCUCAGAGGUACAUGGAUUUCUGACCUUAGCCUUUGAAAUGGCUUCUCUCCCUCCCCAUCAGCAAUGUAGUGGUCUAUUUGGGGCCCGUGUCAACAAAGUCAAAUAUGCAGGGCCAAGGGGACAGCAGCGGGGUCAAGCAGUGAAUGUUGGAACAGUGGCCAACAUAUUUUGUGACAUUCAGGGAGUGUUGUGUUGGUUGGUUGGUUGGUUUCAUAUUUGAGCCAAAUGCUACUCCUCUCACUUUGAACUGAAGUCAGCAGAAGAGAAGUGCAAACCUCCACUGACCACAAAGUACAGAAACACAGUCUAGGAAGCUGGGUGGUUCCCCUGCUGUGCCUGCAGAAUGCUGGCCAUGCUGAUGCAGGCGAGAGGAGGCUUCUUGUUCACUAGGGAUUUCACCCUCUGCCUGCAGUUGCCGGCAAGAAUUGCAGCCAGGGCAAAAUUAUCAGAAAUUCGCUGGGAAAAUAGAUUCAUCUCCUUUAAAAACUGCAAAAAUGGAUUCAGCCCACACUAUCCCACUUAAAGAAUUCUUAUUUUUUUUCUUCCUUUUCCAGUGACUAUGCUUCAUCCUAGAUGUUGGAUCAUGUGUGGUCUGAGGAUGCAUCAGUAGUAAAGGACAGGAAGGAGGUGGGGACCCUAGGAAUACUGUGCUCCUUCUGCUAAAGGUAUACCUGAAAAGUGUCCUUUAGCUACUCAGCAGAGUUCUGCUUUUCUUUUUGAAAUACACCACUUCCUUCUCCCAUUUAUUGAGUUAAGUGAAUUGGGAAUGUGUUUUCUCUAAACUUAAUAUUCAGUUUUUCAUUUAUUUAUUCAUUCAAUUUAUUUGUAUAUCUAAGAGUGCUUAGAUACACAGCAAACAAAAUAGGUAAAAAAAAAUUCUUACUCUCGUGAAUUUAUAUUCAAUUAUUUAAUCUUUAUGAUAGAUAGGCCACGAGGCAGGUCUGUUAUGGUGCCCUUUUCAGAGGGAACUUGCUAAAAGUCAUACAGCCAGUGGAAGGCUAAGUGGGGAAGUGAACCCAGUAGGCUGGCUCCAGAGAGCCCAUAUUCUUCCCAUCAGACUCUACACUCCCUGGUGGGACUGAUGGCUGUGACUUCUAGUUCAGAAGAACAGAAGGUCAGGCACACAUCUGUAAGUUUUAGAGGUAAAGUCUAUAAUCCACAAGAUGGUUUAAUGACAAAAAAAAAUUAUUUAAACAAAAUAUUGUGUGUGAAUUUCCCACUUUGAGGGUCAUACUUAAAUGCAAUCUGUUUCCUUCGAACAAGCUCUGAUAGGCAGGGGAGGAUCGGCCAAACAGCUGAAAGACCAGAAGAUUGGAGGAUGCCAUUGGUUUGCAAGUAGAGGCAGGUGCUGGGGUGAGGGAAUCUCAUAUCAAGAAUUCUCAAGCUCAAAAGUUUACCUCAGGCAUCAUUAGCACCAACCAAAUAGUUCACAUUUGGGAUUUUUCUCAGACAGCUUUAUGAGCUCAAUUUGAUUAUUUCACUUAAAUAAAAUCAAGAUAAAAGAUAAAAUAACAGUCAAUCUGCUCAAAGCAUACUGUUCAACAAGAAAUAGAGGCAUUCUUACUUUGCUUACUGGCUUCUCAAUCAGAGGGUUUGCAAAGCAAACUGGAGCUAGGCUGCUGUACACAGAAGGUUUCCAUUGUUGCUCCUGUAGUUAAGAAAACAGAGAAAGAGAUUUCAGGGACUUGGCUGACUUUCUGCUGCUGGGAGCCAUUUCCCUGCUGCUCACAAUAGUGCCUCAAGCACUUGAACUCCACAUUUGUCACUUGAAAUACCUGAGUCAGCGUUUUUGCAUAGCCCUUCAGUCUACAGCCUAUGCAAACCCAUUUAACCUUGUACAGAGACAGGUUACAAAACCACUUAUGACAUUCUGAAGGAAUUAAUAUACCCAUGUUGACAGCAAUUCAGGAUAUUUUCAGCUUUAUCUGUUAAGGUAUUUUUCUAGAACAUAAGUUAGAUUAAAAGAAUUUAAAAAAAAAAUGACUUUCCUAAUAUCUCAUUCCCUAAAAACAAUGACCACAGGUCAACCUCUGAUUUUUAAACCUUUGAUUCUGAAUGGGAUGAUUUCCAAAGUUCUUUACCUACUAUUCAGAAUCCUCCCAAAGAACUCUUACUACUUUUUCAACUUCAGCUCCAACUUAACCUUACAAUUUACCCAAUAACUCAUGCAAGACUGGUCAAUGUAUUUUUUUAAAUGGUCUCCAAUUUGUAUCUUUGUUUAUGCUGUUCCUGGUUCCUAAAAAUAUACUUCUUCAAUAUCUGCCUGUGAAUUCCUACCUGUCCUAUAAAGUCCAGUUCAACUUCCCUAGGAAACAUUUUCCUAUGUUCCUCCACUUCUGACUAGAGUCACAAUAAAUUUCUCCCUACCACAGAGUCCCAUGGUACUAUUCUUAGAGUACUUAUCACUAUGUGAGCCACCUGGGAUGAAAAUCAUGUUUCGGUAUUUCUUAGCCUUUAUAAUUUAGCACAGGGUAAUUUUUAAAAAAUUUCUAAUUAGAGUAAAUUUUCUUUGGUUAACUGAUCUCUUCCUGCAUGUCUUUAUUAAGAUCCAAUUGUCUCCAAUCCCAGUUCCAAUCUCACCACCCAUAUUUUUCAUCCUCUCUUUCAAUCUUGUUAGAAGAGUCAUCAAGAGGAAAAAAAAAAUGAAAAUUUAACUGUACAUAUCAACAAACCCCAUAAAAUAAAAAUGAACUUUAAUAAUAAAUCAGCAAAUAUUGACCCAUCCCCACCUCCUGCUGCUCAUUAAUUGGCUGUGUUAUUCGAAGUAAAGGAAGAUUUUUCAGUGAUCUUAGCAAAGGAAUGGAGUAUAAGCUUCUGGACUCUCUACUCCUGCUGUUACUAAUUAUCUUACCCUGCCCCCAAUGGGGCAAAUUACUUAUUCUCUCCACCAGGGUGGCCCUGCCUAUAAAUGUGGUUUGCAUUAUUUACACACAUCUCACAGGGUAUUUUGAGACUAAUUGCAGAGAUAUCCAUGGCCUAGAAAGGCAAAGCAUAACCCCUGGGGAGAGGGCCCUGCAAUUUACCCUUAAGAGAAGUCAUUCAAACCUCUGACUUCUUCCCAGAAUCUGAAAACAGGGGCUAUAGUUGGAUUCCUAAAGAUGUGGAUUGCUGUCCAUUAGGAGUUAAACCAAGACCAGCAACUCAUUUCGCAGGUCAUGUUCCAGCUGUCAAAGUGUAAUUACCAUCAAACCCCACUGGCGCAGGUUCCAACCAUAUUAGUGAAUGCAUGAAUGAAAGUUCCAAAAGAUCGAAUUACCAACUUCCACCUUCCAAAGAUAAAAGGACAUUGAAUGGCACCAGGGAAAAGGCCAAAUUAUGUCAACUUAAGACUACAAUUUUUUUUUUUUUUUUAAUGAAAAUAACAGUUGCCAUGUUGAUGAUAGGGAAACAUGAUUCUGUGUUGAGCAUGUCAAUCUGCAGAAGCAGUAGAUGAAUCUGAAGAACUUUGCCCUUUAGUCUGAGGCUUGUCCAGUUGCUAUGGCAACAUGUAACUAGCUUUCUCAGGAGGUUGUGCAUCCUGAUUUUCUUUAGACCAAACAAUCCCUUGAUAAGUUCACACUGGGUAUACUUAAGACCAAAACAGCACAGUAGUUGCAAAACAGAUUUCUUACUUGUAAAUUAUUUAUUUGGUGGCAAAAUACAUUAUGAGUCUGGACCACAUAGAAAGGUAACUUCUGAAAUAAUGGGUUCAUACGUAAGGCAUUAGACUAGUGGUAGGCAUACAGUUAUUAUUAAACAGUGUUUCCCUUUUCCUUUCCCUCCCAUCCUCAUUUCAGGCUUUCCCCAUGGGUUUUUAUUAUUCUGGUUUGGAUGACUGGCAUUAUUUACCUUUUGUUCCCCACUAACUCACCAUUUGCUGAAUAUGGGAGUCUGGAUGCUGAGGUUGGGCUUGGAACAAGGAGAGGAGUUACAGAAUUAGAGAAAGGUUGUUGAAGCCCCAGGCAUAUCAGCCAUCCUCUACAGAUCUCUGCAAAAUGAGAGCAAUUGUUGCCCCUGUAUCUUCUUCUCAUGAUAACUUCAGAGCACUUUAAAAUUGGUACACAACUUCUCAGAGAUUUCCACAUGAAAGGGGCUUAGGGUAAUUUUUCUAAGAUUAGCUCUUAAAAGAAGAAAAAGCUGUUGUGAAGACCUUGAACUGUAAUGACAACCUUUAGUGUUUAUCCUGGUGCCUGAAAUAUAAUGACAAUUCCUGGUACAAAAGGACAGAAAUAAUUUAGAUUUUUUUGAGGUGGAAAGAUAUGGGGAUCAUCUGAUAGGUUCUGCUAGAAUGACUGAGCAGUCCAGGUGGUGUCUGCUUAGGGAUACAUUGACUGAGGCAGCUCAAACAAUCCUACCUACUCAGAAGGAAAGAAAGUGUCCUUCCUCAGAAAUCUUGAUCUUAUACUGUAUAUAAAGAAGGGACAUUUAUAUCUAUCAAUGGCCCCACCCUGUUUUCCACACACCUUGAACCUUGGAACAAUUGUGUUCUAUUUUGAGAUGGAAGCAGCUUCUACCUGUCACUCAUUGUCUAUUGGGAGCAAACAUUUAUUGAGAUUUCUUGUAUCUGCAGAGUACUUUAAAAAUCUGUUAACAAAGCACUUCAGUUGCCCCUUCAACUGCUCAAAAGCCACAAACUGUUUCUGGGACCUAGAUGUGGAGGGAACUGUGACAUUUCAAACACACUGUGGGAAAAGAGGAAGGAGAAAGUUCCUGAAGCAGGAUGUGAUCUAGAUAACCGCCAUUGCCCCAGGCCCUGCUCUCAGGCCCCCUGCUCUGGUUGUGGUGGCCAACCAACAGGGAUUUGGGCUUGCUCCACCCAUUGCAGCUGGAGUUCCUUUCUUGGAAGGGUCAAGCACACAGAUGCAGAGGUGAGGUGGCCUUGGAAAAAAGAGGAGGACUGGGUGGAGGGCGUCUUGCUGUUGACUCACAGGGGCUUGACCAGACUUCCUCCCUUUUUCUACAGUUUUGGUGAACUUGAGUAAACUGUACAUACUGCUACAUUUUCCUCCUUCCUUUUCGACUAUUAUCACAGACAUUUGAGCAGUGAGAGAAGGUCACAGGGGGAACAGCUCACAAGCAAUCCUGUUUUUGAGUUUUCUAGGCAGGAUCUUGUUAGAGGCUAGCCUGCUUAUGCAUUCUCCAGCACCUCCCUUAGUACCCAUUUCCCUUAAAUGCUCUGCUAAAUUUUUGCAUUUAAAUUUCCAUUUCCUGUAUGUUUUACAUGCUGAUUUUUAAAAUGUCCCUUGGGCAUUUGCCUUUCUUCCCAAUGUUUUAUAUAUCUUCUGAACCACCUGUGCCUAUCACAAGGCUACCAUUACACAGAGCAUUAAAACAAAUACUGUUGCAACACUGCACGUUAGUGGGCUCCUGAAAGGAGGCACGUUCCCCUCACCAUCCCCGCGUGUCUCUGAGUUGCCUGCUGCCUUUGUCCAAAUGCAUGUGUGUUCAGCUAGAACACCACUUGGUAUCAUACCCCGGUGACCACUUACCAUCACAUGUUACAUGUUCUCUAUUUUUUUACAGUCUUUGGGUUUAUAAGAUUUAGCCACUACACAAUGUUCCCUCAACAAAGUAGAUUAGAUUGUGUUGAUAUCUUGAUUUAUAUUUCUGUUUUUUUCCAUGUAACUAAAAAAAAUUUUUCCCUGUCUUUUGAAUCAUUGUUUAGAGUAUGUUUCCAAAAAGACAUAAACAUUUUUACACCUUUGGUUAGUUACUAUGUAGUCAUUACUUUUCAAAAGGUUUGGAUAAGUUUCCACAGCUCUCUAAUACACAGCAUACAUACAUAGUGUACAUAUCGAAGUACAUUACUCAACACACACACAUUGACUCUUUUGUUUUCUUAACAGCAAACCCAUGAGGAAUCACCAUAAUUAACUUCAUAUUUAUAGAAGACACUAAGAGCCACAGAGGUUAAGUAAUUCUUUGUCAGAUGACCAAUGUCCCUUUUGGGGCGUCUUUGGCUUCAAGUGCCUGCUGUACCCAGUUCUUCCCUGGUUUCAGUGAGUAAUUGAUGACUCUUUGUCUAUCCUGUACUUCUUCAGCUUGUGUCACAGUGCAAGAAGGAAUGUGGAGUCAUAAACAUGGGAUCAACUUAUAGCUCUGCACUUACUAGCUGUGAGAUGCUGAGUAAGCUGCUGAACCUUGCUAAGCCUCAGUUUCCCCAAAUGUAAAAUGGGAUAAUACCUACAUCAUAGGCUUAUUUGAAGGAUUUAAAUUGAAAUUCAGCUCAGCAAAGAAACUUACAUUUUUAAAAAAUGCUAUUAUUUUUUCACUUAAAGAAAGUUUUUUUUUUUUGUCAUUAUUCCUUGUAUUAUUUUCCAGAGCAAACUAGCAAAUGUCUAGGAGUCUUUAUUAUAGUUUAGUAUGUAGAUUUCCUUCUCUAUUGUCAAUCAGCAAUCUAGAACUUAAUUUAAUUCAAUGCUGUUAGUAAGGAUUUUUAAUUAUUAGUAUUAACACAUUCUAAUUGUACAAAUUAAUGAAUUUCACUGUGACAUUUACAUACAUGCAUAUGUUGUGCCUAUAGAAUUUUUUUUAUUUUAAAAAUUUGUUCUAAUUAGUUAUACAUCAUAGUAGAAUGUAUUUUGACAUAUUAUAUAUAUAUGGAGUAUAACUUUUCAUUCUUCUGGUUGAUGUAGAAUUACAUUAGUUAUAUCUAUGAGAAUUUUUAUGUAAAAUAUUUAUAAGUAAACUAGAAUUUUAUCAAAACAUUUAAAUAAUGAUUGUAAUAAUUAUAAAAGCUACAGAUACAUUGUUUAGAAAUUUAUUAAAUAAGCUUAAACAGGCAUGUUUAUUUUUAAAUUAUAAGCAAUAUUCAACAUUUAUAUAUUAUAAAUCAAAACUAUAAAUAUAAAUUUAUUUAAAAUAAAACUUUUAUCAGGCACAGUGGUACACACCUGUAAUUCUAGCAUCUCAGGAGGCUGAGACAGGAGGAUUGUGAGUUCAAAGCCAGCCUCAACAACUUAGCAAUGCCCUAAGCAACUCAGUGAAACCCUGUCUCUAAAUAAUAUAUAAAAAAGGGCUGGGAUGUUUUGUUUAGUGGUUAAGCACCCCUGAGUUUGAUCCCUGGUACCAAAGCAAAACAAAACAACAACUUAUACCAUUAACAUUCAUAAAACUAAUAUUUAAAAUAUUUCUUAAAAGCAAUAAAUUAUGAGUUAAUUUAAUAAGCACAGGUUUAUGAAUGUCAAUGCUUUUAAAAUAAGUAUGUCUGCCUCUAAGGACCUUAUAAAUAAGUUAAUCAUGAUGCAGUAGAAAGCACUGUCCUCCUACUCUGAAGACCUGGAUUUGAAAACUGGCUUUGACACUUGAUAUGAAACCUUUUGGGGGUUCCACUUCUUCAUCAGUAAAAGUACUGUAUAGAGUACUUGCAUAUAAAUAUAAAUAUAUAUAUAUAUAUAUAUAUAUAUAUAUAUAUAUAUACACACAUACUUGAAUAUAUAAAUAUAUAUAUAAAUGUAUAUACACACAUAUAUAGUGAUAUAUAUAUAUAUAUAUAUAUACACACACACACACACACAUAUAGAUAAUACUUGAUGCAUAUAUACAGAGUACUUAAAUAUAUAUAUAAUCCAGUAAGGCAUUGUAUCUGAAAACAAUCACCAAAUUUCGAUACAUUUAAAAAGAGAUGUUUAAAAUUUCCUGAUCUUUUUGGAAUGCCAAAACCAAGUCAUGUGCUAGUUAUGCCACCCAAAAGUUCAUAGAACUGUAGUACAUACACUCUUAAGUCCUCCAGGAGUUAGAAAAGGUAAAUGAAAUUAAAAUGUGAAGCUACCAAUUCAAACAUGAGAAAACAUCACACAGGAGAAAUAUUUCUCCAUAGUUUCCAAAUGUCUCUGAAGGUCAACUUCAUACUGGAAAUGAUCCCAAAAGUAUGAGCUCUAGAGGGUUCAAAUCUAAAUCAAUCAUAAUAACAGUGAUUUCAACAGGAGGGAGGGGGACAGACAAUGGGAGGGAGGGAACCAAAUGUGCUACAACCUGUGACUCUAUAUAUUGGAACAAUUUGGAGACCUGCGCCGAAUUCGGGUAAAGUUAUGAAUGGAUCAGAGGCAAGUUAUGGGUUAGGUCCCUUCAAAAUUCAUGUGCUGAAGUCCUAAUCCAUGUAGUACACCUCAUGAAGUGGAUGUAUUUGGAUGCAGAGUUUAAAGUGGUAAUAAAAUGACAUCAUACGAUGCACUCUAAUGCAAUUUGACGGGCACCCUUAAAAAGAGAUUAGGAUAAAAAUACAUGCCUAGGGAAGACAACGGGAAGAGACAGGGAGAAGACAGCUGCCUACCAGCCAAGAGGGGAGGCCUCAGAAAGAAUCAACCCUAUCUAUACCUUGAUUUCAGACAUCUGGCUAAGAAGAGGCUUGAAGAAAUGAAGGAAAAAAUUUAUUAUAUAAGCCACCCAGUCUGGGUACUUUGUUAUGGCAUCCUUACAAAGUAUUCUAGCAAAUAAGAGCCUCAAUGUCAAUGGGAAGGGCUUUAGGGGCAGAAGUCAGUCAGCGUAGAAAAGAUUGCCAAAUGGAUUGAGAGGGUGCUGCAGUGACCAGCGACAAAGGUAGGGUUUGCACAACAGCACUGAGCAGGCAUUGAGGACAUAAAGGUGUACAAGAUGCUGUCUUACCCUCAAGGGCUCCCCAAGCCUAGGAGGGGAAAGGUAAAUAAGUAAUAUUUAAGGUGGUAGUAAAGAUUUAGGAUAUCUCUAUAGUAUAGUUUAAAGUCUGGUAUUGGGAUGCCUCCUGCUUCACUUUUCUUGCUAAGGAUUGCUUUGGCUAUUCUGGGUCUCUUAUUUUUCCAAAUGAAUUUCAUGAUUGCUUUUUCUAUUUCUAUGAAGAAUAUCAUUGGGAUUUUAAUAGGAGUUGCAUUAAAUCUGUAUAACGCUUUUGGUAGUAUGGUCAUUUUGACAAUAUUAAUUCUGCCUAUCCAGGAGCAUGGGAGAGCUUUCCAUCUUCUGAGGUGUUCUUCAAUUUCUUUCUUUAGUGUUCUGUAGUUUUCAUUGUAGAGGUCUUUCACCUCUUUUGUUAGAUUGAUUCUCAGGUUUUUGGUUGUUUUUUUUUUUUUUGAGACUUGUGUGAAUGGGGUAGUUUUCCUAAUUUCUCUUUCAGUGGAUUCAUUGCUGAUGUAUAGAAGUGCAUUUGAUUUAUGGUGUGAUUUUAUAUCCUAUUACUUUGUUGAAUUCAUUUAUUAGUUCUAGAAGUUUUCUGGUGGAACUUUUUGGAUCUUCUAGAUAUAGAAUCAGGUCAUCAACAAAAACUGAUAGUUUGAGUUUUUCUUUACCUAUUUGUAUCCCUUUAAUUUCUUUCUUUCUGUCUAAUUGCUCUGGCUAGAGUUUCAAGGGUGAUGUUGAAUAGAAGUGGUGAAAGAGGACAGUCUUGUCUUGUUCCAGUUUUUAGAGGGAAUGCUUUAAAGUUUUCUCCAUUUAGAGUGAUGCUGGCCUUGCAUAUAUAGCUUAUACGAUCUUGAGGUACGUUCCUACUAUACCUAGUUUUUCUAGUGUUUUGAACAUGAAGGUGUGCUGUAUUUUGUCAAAUUCUUUUUCUGCAUCUGUUGAGAAGAUCAUAUGAUUCUUGUUUUUAAGUCUAUUAAUAUGAGAAGUUUACAUUAAUUGAUUUCCAUAUGUUGAACCAAUCCUGCAUCCCUGGGAUGAACCCCACUAGAUCAUGGGGCACUUUUUAAUACGUUUUUGUAUGCGAGUUGCCAGGAUUUUAGAAUCUAUAUUCAUUAGGGAUAUUGGUCUGAAGUUUUCUUUCCUUGAUGUGUCUUUGUCUGGUUUUGGUAUCAGGGUGAUAUUGGCCUCAUAAAAUGAGUUUGGAAGGGUUCCCUCCUUUUCUAUUUCAUGGACUACUUUGAAGCAUUUGAUGUUAAUUCUUCUUUGAAAGUCUUGUAGAACUGAGAAUCCAUCUGGGUCUGGGCUUUUCUUGGUUGGUAGGCUUUGGAUGGCAUUUUCUAUUUCAUUACUUGAAAUUGAUCUGUUUAAAUCAUGUAUGACCUCCUCAUUCAAAUUGGGUAGAUCAUAUGUCUCUAGAAAAUUGUUGAUGUCUUCGAUAUUUUCUAUUUUAUUAGAGUAUAAAUUUUCAAAAUAUAUCGAAUUAUCUUCUGUAUUUCAGACAUGUCCAUUGUGAUACUUCCUUCUUCAUCUCAUUUUUUAGUAAUUUGAGUUUUCUCUCUUUUUUUCUUCAUUAACAUGGCUAAGGGUUUUUCUAUUUUACUUAUUUUUUAAUUUUUUUUUUAGAAAUUUAUUGGUUGCUCAAAACAUUACAUUGAUCUUGACACAUCAUAUAUCAUGCAUUUGUUUCAAAUGGGGUAUGAAUUCUUAUUAUUCUCCUGUGUACAGAUUGCAGAAUCAUGUUGAUUAUACAGCCACGUUUAUACAUACUGCCAAACAAGUGUCUGUUGUAUUUUCUAUUUUACUUAUUUUUUUUCAAAAAAACAACUUUUUGUUUUGCCAAUUUCUUCAAUUUUCUUUUGUUUUGAUUUCAUUGGUUUCAGCUUUGAUUUUAAUUAUUUCCUGUCUUCUACUGCUUUUGGUAUUAAUUUAUUCUUCUUUUUCAAGGGUUUUGAGAUGUAGUAUUAGGUCAUUUAUUUGUUGACUUUUAUUUUUUUAAUGAAUGCUUUCAAUGCAAUAAACUUUCCUCUUAGUACUGCCUUCAUAGUGUCCCAGAGAUUUUGAUAUGCUGUAUCAGUGUUUUCAUUUACCUCUAAGAGUUUUUUUUAUUUCAUCCUUGAUUUUUUCUAUUAUCCAUUCAUCAUUGAAUAGUGUAUUAUUUAGUCUCCAUUUGUUAGAGUAGCUUCUAUUUUUUUUUUAUUUUGUCAUUGAUUUCCAAUUUUAUUCAAUUUUGAUCUGAUAGAAUGCAGGGUAUUAUCUUUGUUUUUUUGUAUUUACUAAGAGUUGCUUUGUGGCCUAAGAUAUGGUGUAUUUUAGAGAAGGAGCCAUGUGCUGCUGAGAAGAAAGUACUUUGUUUGUUGAUGGAUGAAAUAUUCCAUAUAUGUCUAUUAAGUCUAAAUUAUUGAUUAUAUUAUUUAUUCUAUAGUUUCUUUAUUUAGUUUUUGUUUGAAAUAUCUGUCUAGUAGUGAGAGGUGUGUUACAGUCACCCAGGAUUAUUAUGUUGUGGUCUAUUUGAUUCUUGAAAUUGAGAAGAGUUUGUUUGAUGUACAUAAAUGCUCCAUUGUUUGGGGCAUAAGUAUUUACAAUUUUUAUGUCUUGCUAAUAUAUAUUUACCUUAAGAAGUAUGAAAUGUCCUUCUUUCUCUCUUCUGAUAACUUUGGCUUGAAGUCUACUUUAUCUGAAAUGAGGAUGGGACUACCUGCUUGUUUAUGCAAUUCAUAUGAAUGAUAUGUUUUUUCCCAUCCUUUCACCUUCAGCCUGUGGAUGUCUUUGUCCAUGAGUUAAGUCUCUUGAAGACAGUAUAUUGUUGGGUCUUGCUUUUUAAUCCAAUCUGCCAGUCUGUGUCUUUUGAUUGAUGAGUUUAGGCUAUUAACAUUCAAGGUUGUUAUUGAGAUACGAUUUGUAUUCCCUGUCAUUUUGACUUAUCUCUGGUUUUUAAUUUGACACAGUUUCUCCUUUAGUUGAAUAUUCCUUUAGUGUGGAAAUGGCAUGGUAUUGGCACCAAAAUAGACAUGUAUAUCAAUGACACAGAAUAGAGGACACAGAGAAAAAUACAAAUACAAUUAUCUCAUACUAGACAAAGGUGCCAAAACAUUCACUGGAGAAAAGAUAGCCUAUUCAACAAAUGGUGCUGGGAAAACUGAAAAUCCAUAUGUAGCAAAAUGAAAUUAAACUUCUAUGUCUCACCCUGCACAAAAAUUUACUCAAAGUGGAUCAAAGACUUAGGCACUAGAACAGAGACCCAUGCCUAAUAGAAGAAAAAGUAGGCCCAAAUUCUCACCAUGUCAGCCUAGGAUCUGACUUUCUUAACAAGAUCGCUAAAGUGCAAGAAGUAAAAUCAGAAUAAAUAAACUGAAUGGAUUCAAAUUAAAAAGCUUCUUCUCAUCAAAAGAAACAAUCAAUAAUGUGAGGAGAGGGCCUACAGAUUGGGAGAAAAUCUUUGCCACAUGUACCCCUGAUAAAGCAUUAAUCUGUAGGAUAUAUAAAGAACUCAAAAACAAAAAAAAACCCUAAUAACCCAAAUGAGCUAAGAAACUGAACAGACACUUCACAGAAGAAGUAAUACAAUCAAUCAACAAAUAUAUAAAAAAGUGUUCAAUAUUUCUAGCAAUUAGAGAAAUGCAAAUCAAAACUACACCAAGAUUUCCUCUCACUCCAAUCAUAAUGGCAAUCAUCAAGAAUCCAGGCAACAAUAAAUGUUAGGAUGUAGGGGCAAAGGUACACUCAUACAUUGCUGGUGGGACUCAAAUUGGUGUAACCACUAUGAAAAGCAAUUUGAAUAUUCCUCAGAAAACUCAGAAAAGAACCACCAUCAACCCAGUUAUUCCACUCCUCAGUUUAUACCCAAAGGACUUAAAAGCAACCUACUACAGUGAUACAGCCAUGUCACUGUUUAUCACAAUUCAAUUCACAAUAGUUAAGCUAUGGAACCAACCUAGGUGUCAUUCAAUAGAUGAAUAGAUAAAGAAAAUGUGAUUAUAUAUAUAUAAAAUAUUCAAUGGAAUAUUACUCAGCUUUAAAGAAGAAUGAAAUCAUGGCAUUUGCCAGUAAAUGGAUGGAGUUGGAGUAUAUCAUGCUAAGCGAAAUAAGGCAAUCCCCCCAAAAUUAAAGGCCAAAUGUUUUCUCUAAAAUGUGGAUGUUAAUUCACAAUAAGGGAAGGGGCACUAGAAAAGAAUAGAGUUACCUUAGAUUAGGUAGAGGGAAGUGAAGGGAGGAGAGGGGAUGUGUGGGUAGGAAGGAUAGUAAAACAAAUCAGACAUUAUUACUGAAUGUAUAUAUGUGACUACAUGAUCAAAAUGAUUCUACAACAUGUACACUCAGAAAAAUGAGAAAUUAUAUCCCAUCUAUGUAUGAUAUGUCAAAGUACAUAAAUGUGUUCUACUGUCAUGUAUAACUAAUUAAAACGAGUACAAAAAUUAAAAAUUAAAAAAGAUUAAGGAUUAAAGCGUGCAGUGGAAGGAAAGGAGGUGCAUUCAUCCUCCAACCCCUGAGGAAGAAUCAUCUGUCACUGGGAGACUUCCAGCAGGAGGUGUUGUGCAUGCUGAAUUUAAGGGAACAGCAUCAAAGCCAGGCGGACAAAGAUGGGUGGAAUGGGGAGGGAAGGUCAGGGAUAUGCAAAGAGAUUUAUGGUGCUCAAAAAAGAGGAACUAUCAUGGGCACAAAAAUAAGCAUGGAAUUUAAAAAAAAUUUAGUUUUUGUGCACACCACAAAUAGUUUGGUUUUAUUUAUUUAUUUAUUUAUUUAUUUAUUUAUGACAGCAAAAUGCAUUACAAUUCAUAUUAUGCAUAUAGAGCACAAAUUUUUCAUAUCUCUGGUUGUACACAAAGUAUCUUUAGAUCUUGCAGAAUGAGACUGGAUGGUGGUAAGUGGAACAGCAGAGACAGGCAGGAAAGGCGCCUUUCUUUUAGAACAAGGUUUGAAUGGAUCAUUUGAUGAACAGACAGAGGGAUGCAAGAGACAGAAGAGUGUAAACUGAGUAACUGUUUAGGCUGCAGUUGCCACAAAGCAGGGAAGACAAGAAAUGCUUGAAUACCUAAAUUAGUGAAGUAGCAGAAAGGCUACAGAAGGGGCCACAGACUUAAGAAAUAAUAUGGAGUUAAAAUUAUCAGAAUGUAUACAAGAGUUUAAAGGAGGAAGGUGUAAGAAUUAUUGCUGACAAGUUUCUAGGAGGCCAGGGAGUGGAGACAAGGACCACAGACCAAGAAGGGGAAGACAUGGGAGGGAUCCAAUGAGGUUCAAAAAGGAUAAAUUGCUUGGAGUAAGGUAUGCCUUAGUGACAAAAGGCACAAAGAAUACUCAUCACUUUAGAUCUUUUAGUUUAAAUAUAUCACUUUAAUGUAAAUGCUGAACUACAUUUAGCCUUAACCUGCCUUCCUAUCUGUACUGGAUCUUUUUGCUACAUCCAAGAUUUUCUAUCGUCUCCUAGUCUCCUAUGUAUACAUUAUGCUUAUUUGCAACUCACUUCUUCCUGGUACCUUUUUAGCCCUUCUUCAUCCACCCUGGUUCUACCAUCUACUAUGUGCAGGACCUUCAGAAAGCUGUGAUAUUUUUCCAAACCUUAAACUUCCUUGUGUACAAAGUGGGGAUGAUAAUACCCAUGGAACUAGGUCAUUGGGUAGAUUAAAUGAAAUAAGCACAGGAGACCACAGGAACAUUGGAAAGAAGCUCUCACCCAGACUUGUAGAGAGGAGUGAGGGUGAGGGGAAUGGAGACAUCUUCACACAAGUGGCAGCCCCCACUUCUGUCUACACUCACUCAGACAUAUCUCUUCUUUGGACGUUGGGAAGCUUCUUCACUCUUGCUCCCACAGAUCUCUUCGCCAUUCCACACCUGUGAUGCUCCAACUCUAUUUUCUUCCCUCUUAAAACAAACACUUCACCGGGUGUAGGGGUUAAGGAGGCAGAGGCAGGAUGAUAGUGAGUUCAAAGCCAGCCUCAGCAAUUUAGCAAGGCCCUAAGCCACUCAUUGCCAUAUUGGUCAGGAGGGGUAGGAAAAGGCCCGAGCUAGAAGGGCCUUUUUAAUAUUAUAUUUAGAGACGGGGUCUCUAAAUAUAAUAUUAAAAAGGGCUGAGGAUGUGGCUCAGUGGCUAAGCGCCCCUGGGUUCAAUCCCUGGUAUCAAACCAAAUGAAACAAAACAAAAUAAAACAAAACACUUCAGAGGUUCACACUGCUCUUAGAUGCCCCCUCUUGACCAAUAUGGCACCAUUUUUCUUUCCUUUCAGUAUCUGAAAAGUCAAGAUUCUCUCCUGCUACAGAACUUUUGAAAAGAACAGUUCUCUCUCCCAGAAAAAGCUCAGCCACCUCUGGGCACCUACUCCUCACUUCCCUCUCUAAGUGGAUCUGAUUUUCCCUUCUAUGUGUGGCUCAACUGUCAUUUCUAUUGGGUUCUAUUCACCUCCUUCUUCAUCCCCAUUCCACAAAGUAUUUCUCUUCUGGAACCUCUGUGAGAGUUGCAGUUGAUCUGUGCACCUUUUUGCAUGUGUUUGUGUGACUUUUACUCAGACAGCACAUAUUGUCUUCAUUCCCCAUACAUCUGAUAUGCACAUGACAUAGCACAGGCAUUCAGCAAAUAUUUCUUGAGUAAAUAAAUGAAUAGUUAAAUAAACAAAGGGAUGAAUUCCUGUGAUAAUUCUUAAAAGACAAGUAAGAGAGGGGCAGGCAAAGGAAAUAGGACAGAGUUUUCCAGGCAGUGGGUAAAUAUGCACAUACAGAGGGAUGUAAACUUAUUUGAGUAAAUGCAAAUUGUCUGAAAGGUCAUACUGUGCACAGGAGACUGGUAAUGUGGGCAGGGCCAAACCAUGGAGGACCUUGAGAAUCAUGAAGAUGUGAAGAGCAAGAAAGGAUCAUCUGGAUUGGUUAUGUGUUCUACAAGAAUCACUUUGGGAUCAUGAUGGAGAAGAAUGUGAAGCGGGAGACCAGGAGAUCAGGCAGGGUCUUGGGAGGUAUAACAAGGUGGUAGCAUUUGGGGUUGGACAAAAGAGGUCAGAGUCAGGAGAAUUAAUCUUUUGCCCUCAUCACAGCUCAUAUUGAAAUAAAAUGUUCUUUCACAGGACAUGGUUCUGGGCUUGUACUUCACAAAUGCCCUAUCUCCUACAUGUAUCCAGGUCCAGGUUGUUAGUAUUGUGUCUCUAUGGUCCCAAAUAAAAGAAAAAAUGGAAUGGAAGUGCCUCUAGAAUAUGGUGGAAGAUGGGAAAGUUGUCAUUCAAUGACAUAAAAAGCUGCAUAUUCAUUGGGAAAGCUGAGCUUCAUCUUAUCUUUUAGAAUAAGGUGUGCUACUUUUGUUCCAUGACAAAUUAACAACAUGUGAACAGGUGGUAUGAAUGAAUAAUCGAUGUAUAAAUAAAUUAUAGUAGCACGCUUCUGGAUGACAUUUUGGCAACAAUUUACCUUCACUGUUAGCUCUUUCAGGGCCAGCUGUCUGGGUGCAUGACCUGUGCAGUCGCACAGGACUAGGCACUCAGAAGGGCCCCAGGUUUGGCAUGCUCCUGCCUUGUUGCCAUUUUUAAAUUCUAAAUAAUUUAAUCUUUAAACUCUGUUUUACAGAUGGAAGCCCUAUGGGACAAGGGAAGAUGCAUAGAAUAGAGGAGGUGAGCCUGAUACAUGUGACUAUUGCCCUCUCUCCAUAUCAUUUGCAACUCAUGUUUGCCAUGUUCCAUGAGCACAGAAUUCCAGGGGAACCAGGAUGCACAGGAGCUCAGAGAGACUGAAAGCAAGUACAGGUGAGAAUGUUAUGGCUACACCUGACUAAACAGACACUGACAGUCCUGAGAGACCAUGCUUUCCAUUUGAACCAGAACUUGCUUCCAAUGCAACAUGAAGGCAACGGUGUAAGAAACACAAUCAACCAAAGAACCUGAGCAUAUCAGUUUCUAUUCAUGUUCCUUUCCUGGAUUAACCAAACACUCAUGCUGAAAACAAUGACCUAGAAGGCAAGGAAAAGAUAGGACAGUCCACGGUUCCUUCCUUUUAGCCCUUCCUUAUUUAUCGAUAAGGUGACAGUAGAAAACCCCUGUGGAAUGUGUAUGUAUAUCUAGAAGUGGAUUAAAAACAGGUGAGUUAGUUGUACAGAGUGUCCUUCUGGUAGGAAAGGAAUAAACAUUCAGGUGCAACUACUAAAUACAAAUUGUAUGAUUUCAGUGGUUCUACAUAUGCAUUAAAUACUCUUAUAUUCAUGUCUAAAUAUGACAUUGUGCAAUAUAAAGACAAAUGAUAAAAUAUAUGUUAAUAUUUAAAAUUUAAUUUUUCUUCCCUUUAAAUGACAACAAAUAACAAAUUUAAAAAAUACCAUGACUUGAGAUAAAGACUAAAGAAGAAAGGAAAGCUAUUUAUUUAUUAUUUAUUUUACCCUGCCUUUUUUUUUAACCCUGCUUUUUGAACAGAGGGUCCUGUAUUCACAUUGUGCAAGAAAUCUGCCAAUUAAUGAAGCCAGCCCUAUUGAAAGGGAAUCAUUACCAGAUACCAAAGCACAGGCAACACUAUCACCAAUCCUGUUGGUAAGCAGUUACAAAACAACUGAGCAAAUUCUACUAUUUUUUAAAGACUGGUUUGUCUAUAUAAACUAUCGUGAUGUUUGCUCCUGGAUUUAUACUCUUCUGUAAAUUUAUCUUGAUUAUAAUGUAAGAGGAUUCUAAUAAAAUGUUCUCUAUUUAUACAUUGCAGCACUUUUCCCAAAUCAGAUGCUCAGGUAUAAUACAAGUGACAGAAAUAGUCAAACUGGAUCUUCAAACCACAAACAUCAAGCUAUCUGAAAACUUUUGAACUUCAUCUGGUCCAAGCACCUGAAAACACUUCAAUUAUAGGCUCCAACUGAGCUUUGGAUUUCUAGGUCAAUAGAAUUUCUGUUCAAAAAGAUUAAACAAAUUAAUAUUAGUAUGAAUUUUAUGCAAUUCUAAAAUAAGAAAAAAUUAAAACACCCAUACAUCCUUUAUUCUCAAUACAACUUUUAUAGAAAAGGAAAUAAAUCUAAUAGUUCUGAAACUUUGAGAGCUUUCUGUGUUUCCCAAGCAAAUGUGUUUGGGCUGCUACUCUUAUAUCCUUAUGUUGUCUCUUGGAUUCAUUUUUUACUAAUUCCUAUAAGACUCUGAAUAUAGUAAUGUGGUAGAUACCUUAAGCCAUCUCCUUGCCUUGAAGCUAAAAGAUUGUUCAGAGUUACUCUAAUAUUUCUUUUUAAAAAAAAUUUUAAUUGAUUUUUUAAAAAAUAAAUGAUAGCAGAAUACAAUACAAUUCCUAUUACACAUAUACAGCACAAUAUUUCAUAUCUCUGGUUGUAAUAUAAAGUAUGUUCAUACCAAUUCGAGGCUUCAUACAUGUACUUUGAAUAAUGAUGUCUAAGAAGUAUAGAUAGUAUUAAUACCAAACAAUAUAGUCCUUCACUGCUCUUUCUAGAAAUGUCUUGUGUUACUAGAAAUUAAGUGGGCCCAGUUGGUGCCAUAACACUUAGGCAUAAUUCUCCCACAGGGCAGUGGGGGGGGGGCGUGUAAUUUUAAGGAAAAUGCCCCAGCCAUUGAUUGUCUGUACCUGUACCUUCUUUUCCAGGGAAAGAUAUUCAUUCUGUGACUAAUAAUUACCAUAAGGCUUGAUAUAUAAAUUACCAAAGGAGAGAUGGCCCAUUGCUUCUAAUUCACAAUAAGGGGGAAAAUCUCUUAAAAUUGGGUUUUGUGGUAGGAAAUACAACAGAGAGGGACAACCAAUAACUGCAUAUGAAAGUGGAUACACUGGUGUUUCCCAUUUUGCAUCUUGUCCAUCACUGGGUCUUUGCCUUCCCUGAUUACAUGUUCUACACCACAGUGAUUUGAGGCAACGCAGUCCUCCUCACUUUAAUCAUGAGUUUAAUGAGAGAAAAAAAAAAACAGUUCCCCAAAAUAUAAUCUAUGUUGCAGACUCCACCCCAGCUAAUAUACACAGUUGUAGGUAUCUAAUUGUGAUCUGUUUGCAAUGGUCAGGAACAGGAGUUGUGUUCUGUGAAAGUGGCAACCAACUCCAGAUCAGAUGAGCUCCCCUGACAGCCCCAGACGGAACAUCAGAGCAAGCCGAGGUGACUUCUGUGUGACAGUGACCAGGGAAGCAUCUGCCAGAGGGGUCAGGUCCCUGCAUUGUGUGCUCAUUUUCUAUUCAAUUGUUAAACCAGUUGUUUCAUUUUCUUUCUUAGAAAAUGUGACCCAUUAUCCAAACUAUAUUCAGAUUGAACAGCACAGAAUUGAGCAUCAAAAAUAUCUGGGUUUGGGACUUUUUUCUUUGUGAUUCCUCACAAAGGAAGGAAAGGCACUGCUAACCAUUUCUUUUACUUGGCAGCCACUCACCUCAUAGUUUUUUCUGAAUGGUCAUCUCAUAGGACACAGUGAUAGAUGCAUUUUUGACAUUAUCUUUCAUUCUCAAAAUAAUACUCCAUGAGAUGAAGAUAUGAGUGUAACUUAUGAACAAGACAGUGUAGUGUACAAUAUAGUCCUUCACUGAUCUUUCUAGAAAUGUCUUUCAUUGAUGUGUACUAUUCCAUGCUGUGAAUCUAUCACAGUUUAUUCAUUUCCCUGCUUAAGGACAUUUGUAUUGUUUUAAGUUGGCACUAUCACAAAUAAUGCUGUCAUGAACAUUUUUAACUAUGCCUUUAGGUACACAUAUGUCCAUUUUUCCUUGGAAUAUACAACUGGGGAAAGAACUGCUGUAUCAGAAUCCCUGCUGAUACUCAAUUUUAGAAGACAAUGCCAAUAUUUUCCAAAUAGAAAGUACUAACAUGUGCUUCACCAAAUUUAUAUUUCCUCUGGCAAUGUCUUUUAUACAUUUCUUAUACUGCUUUUAUUAGCUAGAGUUGCACAUAAGAACUUCACAAAACAUGCAAAACCUGGGGAGGAAUGUUCCAGGUUGAAACAGCAAAGAGAAAGGCCCUGAGGCAUUAUAUGAAUGCCUUGCAUUGACUAUUUACUAAGCUGGUAUUGAGUUUGUGUUUACAUAUACACAUACACAUCUAGACAGAUCAAUAGCCAGAAAUAAUAUUAGUUAAAUAUUUUUCCUUGCCAAUUUGAUGCCAGGUACUAUAUUAGGCAAAACCCCUAUAAAGUAGAUAUGAUUCAAAUUUAUUUAGAUUAAGAAACUUACAUUUAAUGGGACUGACGAUAAUUAAUAGCAAAGUAGACACUGAACCCAAGAUUAUCUGGCUCCAAAGACUGUGCUGUUCAUCAAUAUGCCACAUCAAUAUUGACUGUUUUUAAAGUCAAGGGAGGAGUUGAUGAAUUCACAAAUGGUAUUUGAAACAGAUUUUAUUAACUCCUAGAUGAUAUUAAGCAGAAGUAAACAUGUUCCAGAGUUCUUUCAUUUUUCCAAUAUCUGUGUAGAACAUCCUAGGCAGGAUGGUUGAUGUGUCAUUAAAAAGAGGGAACAUUCCAGGGAGUGGAGUACAUGACAAAUUGUUUGUGAAUACUCUUCAUUUACUGGUAGCUACUGAAGUUGCAUUCCAAUGGAGCUAAAAACAGUCUUAGGUAAUGAUGGCAACUCAUAUUCAUAAAAUACUUUACAUCACUAAAUCAUUACAGGUCAGAAUGCUGCUAGGUCAUAAAGAGCAUGUGUUUCUUCAUAAUAGUGUCACCUUCCUCUCCUCCUCCUUCGCCUCCUCCUCCUUUGCCUCCUCCUCCUCCUCCUCCUUCCCCUCCUCCUCCUUCUCCUCCUGUUCUUUUUCUCCUUCUUCCUCCUUCUCCUUGAAAGAUGCCACUUUUUCAGAGGGUGUGUAGAAAGGGAAUAUAAAUUUUCUUCGUGCUUGUAAUUUGUUUUAUUUCAUUCUUAAAGAUAAAUGCUAAAUUUUAAUCAGCAUAUCAAAAUUCUAUCCUGAUUUAGCCUGUAAGACUCUUCUUACACUUUAAGGCUGAUGUGUUUUGAUUGGUUGGCUAGUGUGGAAAGGUAUUUGACCUUGUGGCUGAUGUUAUGUUGAUGGUUGUUUUUCAAUAUUUGAUUGGCAUAAAGUGUUACUGGUCCAGGCCCCCUGAUAAAUGGUUCAGGGAUGCUUUCUUGAAAUAAAGAGAAUUCCUUGCUUGGAUGACAUUUCCCUUGAUUCUCUUUUUAAGUUUCUAUUAUUCUAAAACAUAGGUAACAUAAAAAGAAACAUUUAAAAGCUAACUUGACUUGGCAUAUGCAAAGGCCAUUUCUGCAUAUCAUAUAGCUGUGCCUAUGGUGUCAUGUUACACCAAAAGGCAACAUGGGAGUCUGGCUUAGAAAUCUGUAGUUAACAGUCAACCCUUUAGAAAGAACAUCUUUUAGUUAAAUAGAGAAGAGUAAAAUAGAGCAGUAAGAAGAGCUGAAGUAUUUUCUUGCAGCAGCUUAUUUAAUUACAUUGUUUCAUAAACCAAUUCUAUUUUGAACACCCCUUUCUAAAAAUUACUAUUGAGCAGACAAGUUACAGCAUCAUUUGCUGCCUGCUGCUUAGGAUUUACAAGUGAUUGCCAGAUGCAAGUUGUAUAAUUAAUCAGCUUGGAAGUAAAGUGAUAACUUCGCCCUCCCUUUAAAAUCAAAACUAAUGAUAUGUGUUGGUACUAUUUUUGCAACUUGAUACUUUCUAUUUAGCAGCCACAUGCAUCCCAGUUACUGCUCCCAAAGGAGCCACUUCAGCCCUCAGUAUGUGGGCAGCUGAGUCCUGGACAAAUUACACAGGUGAGUUGAGCACCUUAAUGUGCUUCACCUUCAGUCACAGUCACAGACAGGGAAGAACCUUCCCAAGCAUUGUUGGAGAAAGGCAUGCUGUUCUGGAGAAGGGCAGACACUCAGCAGGUGCACAGCCCACUCGUGCAACACCAAGAAUGUGCACACCUCAUGAUGGUGUUCAAGGAACACUCCAAUCUUCCAUAUCUGAAUGGGCAGUUAAUUAUUUUUCAGUGUCUCAGGAUUUCAUUAUAAUUGUAAAAAAGAUGACUUCUGAAACAUGAAAAUGUCCUUCAGUAAAGAAAUAACUGAAGCAGACUAAGCAUUUGAUGGAGAACAAUUAAUUUAGAGUCUGAAAUGUUUUAAAAAUCCCACUAUGAAACUCAGAGGAUGAGCCACCACUGCUGAUUUGGAGGUUGGUAGUUAGGUGACUUUGCCCUCCAUGGGUGUCUUCAACCUGGCAUCUAGUUCCUCUGAGUCACUGUCUAUCUAAUUCCUUAUUCUCCAGUGUAUGACUUCAAUGAAUUUUCUUGAUUUAAAUGCUUAGAGAAAGUUAAAAACACAAAUAAAACAUGGCACCAUUAACAUUUCCCUUAGCUGCUAACACUUCCCUUAGUUUUUUCUUUUAACUUUAUGACAUAUCCUUCAAUAUUACUGUGGCAUGAAGUAAUAGACAAAAGUUGACCCACCUCAAUUUACCAUUGCAUCUUGACUCUACUGGACUCUACUUGACCUGGCGUGAUUAGAAUUAAUAAUUUCUAGUGCCAACCACCAAAUAAAAGAGUGUGUAACAGAAUGUCUGCAAUAGAAUUCAUAGAGGGAGGAAGAGUUGUUUUACCAGCUUUAUCCAGGAGUCUCCCCUGCUCUUUGGUUGACUUUGAACUCUGGCCUCUAGGAAAUCUAUUUUGGCAGAAAUUUAGAAUGGAGUUAAUGGCAGUCUUACCAUUAACUAAGAGUUCAGUAUAUUAUGAAGUCUUGAAAUACACUAAGAAGAUUCACAUUGAUGGUUACUUUCUAAAAGUGGCGCCCAUACCCUUGAAAUAUAUUAAUUGUGUUGAGUUAAUGAAAAUCAUGUUGCAGAUUUCAACGUUUACUUGUUUUUUUAAAUCUAUCUCUAUCUAAAAUAUUUGUCCAAUGCACGUGUCUUGAUUUAAAGAGUCUGGUAUAGACUCUGAGAAUGACUCUGAUCUGCAAAUAGGUUACACCCAAAGCAGCUGUAAGCUGUGACUGUGCCUGUCUGCUUCAGUCUCCUAAAGUUAAAUAUGUGUGGGUGUGGCUGUGGGUGUGUACGCAAAUAAAAUGACCAAAAGGAUUUCAGUUUAACAUUUAAAUGUUUCACAGAUUAUCUCUGGGUAGCACUCUAUGGGUGUAUUUUACUCACCAUUUAUCUCUAGCACCUACCAUUCUUAUCAUUCUGCAUUGCAGAAACAGGUGACAGUGAAUAUAUUUUGAGGUCCUUGCUGCUGAGUUGCAUUCUGUAUGCAUUUUGUACUUUCUAAAUUUUUUUUAAAAAUAAACAUCCAUUAACAAUAAUGAAA